CUGUCGUUGCUGCUGCGUUGAUUCAGCUUGCAGCUGCAGCUCGUGCUGUUGCUGUUGUGCCGCUGCAGCUGCUCGGCUUACCGCUGCUGCUCUCUGCUCCGCUGCCUUGCCGCCUGUGCGAUCCUGCUGCUACUUGCUACUGCUCUUGCGUCACUGCUGCUCUACGCUGCUACUGCUGUUGUUACCUGAUGCUUGCUAGCUAGGUACGGUUGCUCUCCUCCAUGGCAGUAUGUGUAUGCGCCGUGUGUGUGGGGUGUGUGUUCGUGUGUGUGUGUGGCCGCCUAGGCCACUACCACCUGGGUCGGCCCCUGUUGAGAUUAGAAACUAAUCUCCGUUAGUGCUAAUAAUCCUCCUAUGUUGACUAAAUUGAUUGACUUGAUCUAGAUGUAGUCUAUGCCAUGUGGGCCUAUCUUAUUUCUUAAAAAAAAGAAGAGCCUAAUUAAAAGUCUGUUUCAAUGUCAAGUAGGCCCCACUUGUACUAUUCAUUGGUUGACCAGUCAAUUGUUGACUGAGUCAACCCAGCCCCUGGCCCCACUGGUCAUACAUUGUGGGUAGGUGUUGUUGUGUACAAAAGGUAUUCAUUGUUUUUAUUUCGAAUUAGAAAGAGUCCUAGAAAUCAUUUAACUUGGAAAAAUCAUAACAAACAAACCGUAGCUCGCAUGGAAAAACUUUAUACAUGAAAGUUGCUCGGAACGACGAGACGGAUCUGAAUACGUAGCCCGUUCGUCCGCCACGCAUCCCUAGCAUAGCAAACACGUAAUUUCCCCCCUUCGGUUCGUCUGUCCGAAAACGCGAAACAACGGGGAUACUUUCCCGGAUGUUUUCCCCUUCGUCGGUAUCACCUCAUACCGUGUUAGGGCACCCCUAGCACCGAUAUUUGUCAUGUCAUGCAUCGUCAUGCAUUUGUUUGCAUUAUAUUUAUUGUUUCUUUCCCCCUUCUCUCGCUAGACACCGAGAUCGACGCCGCUUCUACCCAGUACGACUACGGUGUUGACGACCCCACUCUCUUUCCAGAGCAACCAGGCAAGCCCCCCCUUGAUCACCAGAUAUCGCCUACUCUCCUCUAUACUGUUUGCAUUAGAGUAGUGUAGCAUGUUACUGCUUUCUGUUAAUUCUAUCCUGAUGCAUAGCAUGUCAUUGUUGCUACAACUGUUGUUAUCCUUACCUGCGAUCCUAAUGCUUAGUAUAGGAUGCUAGUUUAUCAUCAGUGGCCAUACUUUCUUGUUCGUCUGCCAUGCUAUACUAUCGGGACGUGAUCACUCGGGAGGUGAUCACGGGUAUAUACUUAUACAUAAAUACAUGUUAUACAGUUGGUGACUAAAGACGGGUCGGCUCGUAGGAGUAUCCGCGAGUGAUUCCGAUGUUGGGGGCUGAAGGGGCAGGUGGCUCCAUCCCGGUAGAGGUGGGCCUGAGUUCCCGAAGGCCCCCGACGGUUACACUGUGGCGGAGCGACAGGGCAGGUUGAGACCACCUAGGAGAGAGGUGGGCCUGGCCCUGGUCGGCGUCCGUGGUUAUUUCAAAAUAACAUGCUUAACGAGAUCUUGGUAUUUGAUCUGAGUCUGGCUACUGGCCUAUACGCACUAAUCAUCUACGCGGGGACAGUUAUGGGCACUCGACGUCGUGGUAUCAGUCGAAGCCUUCGUGACGUCAGCGACUGAGUGGCAUGUGCCGGGUUGGACCGUGUAACGCAUCUUCCUUUGUAAUGGAGGUUGCUAGGUCUGCUCUUCGGCCGCAUUCGCAACGUGCAGGUGUGCAAAGGGCGAUGGGCCCAGACCCCUGCGCCAUAGGAUUUAGACCGGCAUGCUGACCUCUCUGUUGUGCCUAGGUAGGGUUGCGACGUGUUGAUCUUCCGAGGCCGGGCAUAACCCAAGAAAGUGUGUCCGGUCAAAUGGGGUCAAGCAUGUUGGAUUAUGUGGUGCACCCCUGCAGGGAAGUUGAUCUAUUCGAAUAGCUGUGUCCCUCGAUAAAAGGAUGACCUGAAGUUGUACCUUGACCUUAUGACAACUAGAAUCGGAUACUUAAUAAAACACACCCUUCCAAGUGCCAGAUACAACCGAUGGUCGCUCUCUCACAGGGCGACGACGGGAGGAUCAUUGGUUAGGUUUAUGCUAUGCGAUGCUACUUGGUGAACUUACCAUCUACUCUCUUCUACAUGUUGCAAGAUGGAGGUGGCCAGAAGCGUAGUCCUCGACAGGAUUAGUUAUCCCCUCUUAUUCCGGCUUUCUGCAGUUUAGUCCACAUAUGAUACCCUUAUUCCAUUUGAUACCGAUGCAUACAUAUGUAGUGUAGCUCCUGGCUUGGGAGUACUUUGAAUGAGUACUCACGGUUGCUUUGCUCCCUCUUUUCCCCUUUCUAUACUCGAUUGCUGCGACCAGACGUUGGAGCCCAGGAGCCAGACGCCACUGUCGAUGACGACUACUACUACUCGGGAGGUGCCUACUACUACGUGUAGCCCGCUGACGACGACCAGGAGUAGUUUAGGAGGAUCCCAGGCAGGAGACCUGCGCCUCUUUCGAUCAGUAUCCCAGUUUGUGCUAGCCAUCUUAUGGCAACUUGUUUAACUUAUGCCUGUACUCAGAUAUUGUUGCUUCCGCUGACUCGUCUAUGAUCGAACUCUUGUAUUCGAGCCCUCGAGGUCUCUGGCUUGUAAUAUGAUGCUUGUAUGACUUAUUUUAUUUGUAGAGUUGUGUUGUGAUAUCUUCCCGUGAGUCCCUGAUCUUGAUCGUACACGUUUGCGUGUAUGAUUAGUGUACGAUUGAAUCGGGGGCGUCACAAGUUGGUAUCAGAGCCGACUGCAUGUAGGAAUCCCCUUUCAAACUCCUUGGCCGAAGUUGAGUCUAGUCAGUGAAAAACUUUUACUAACAUGGUUGUUCGGCUUACGGGCGCACAUCGCCAUUGGAUGGUAUUAGGAUUUUUUUACUCCUCGUCUAUACUCUGGGACUUUGAUCUCCCUUCUAUUCGGGUUAAAUGAAUUUUGCUAACUUUAACAUUAGGAUCUCAUGAUCACUUUCAACCGGAGAGCCCUGUGUUACCGAUGACCGUCUGCUUCACCAGAAGAUUCCGAAGAUACUUUUGCUAUUCCCGACCACCGAUAAAUCCUUAUGAAUAACUACUUACACUUGUCAUUUAUAUAAUUUUUGGAAAUAUGCCGUAGAGGCAAUAAUAAAUAGAUUAUUAUUAUAUUUCCUUGUCCAUGAUAAUCGUUUAUUAUCCAUGCUAGAAUUGUAUUGAUAGGAAACUCAGAUACAUGUGUGGAUACAUAGACAACACCAUGUCCCUAAUAAGCUUCUAGUUGACUAGCUCGUUGAUCAAUAGAUGGUUAUGGUUUCCUAGCCACGGACAUUGGAUGUCGUUGAUGACGGGAUCACAUCAUUAGGAGAAUGAUGUGAUGGACAAGACCCAAUCCUAAGCAUAGCAUAGAUCGUGUAGUUCGUUUGCUAAAGCUUUUCUAAUGUCAAGUAUCAUUUCCUUAGACCAUGAGAUUGUGCAACUCCCGAAUACCGUAGGAAUACUUUGGGUGUGCCAAACGUCACAACUUAACUGGGUGGCUAUAAAGGUGCACUACGAGUAUCUCCUAAAGUGUCUGUUGGGUUGGCACGAAUCAAGACUGAGAUUUGUCACUCCGUAUGACGGAGAGGUAUCUCUGGGCCCACUCGGUAGGACAUCAUCAUAAUGUGCACAAUGUGAUCAAGGAGUUGAUCACAUGAUGAUGUGUUACGGAACGAGUAAAGAGACUUGCCGGUAACGAGAUUGAACAAGGUAUCGGGAUACCGACGAUCAAAUCUCGGGCAAGUACAAUACCGCUAGACAAAGGGAAUUGUAUACGGGAUUGAUCGAAUCCUCGACAUCGUGGUUCAUCUGAUGAGAUUAUUGUGGAACAUGUGGGAACCAACCACUGGAGCAGAAUUACCCUGGAUACUUGGUAGAUGAGAAGGCUGGCAAGGUCGGUAGAAGUAUAUUGAAUAUACAUUGUGUUAAUGUGUACUUUACUAGUACUCCUAAUAGCACCAGGGUAUUAGAUACCGGUUCGGUUACUAAGUGUUAGUAACUCGAAAUAAAAGCUACGGAAUAAACGGAGACUAGCUAAAAGGUGAGAUGACGAUAUGUGUUGGAAGUAUUUCCAAGGUUGAUCAAAUAUUGUACGCUUCUUCUACCAUCAAGAUUGGUGUUUGCGUUGAGCAUAGACAUGAUUGGAUUAUGUCUAUCGCAAUACGGUUAUUCAUUUAAGGAGAAUAAUGGUUACUCUGUUUAUUUGAAUAAUACCUUCAAUGGUCUUGCACCUAAAAUGAAUGGUUUAUUGAAUCUCGAUCGUAGUGAUACACAUGUUCAUGCCAAGAGAUAUAAGAUAAUAAUGCUAGUACCACCUACUUGUGGCAAUGCCACGUAAGUCAUAUCGGUAUAAAACGCAUGAAGAAGCUCCAUGUUGAUGGAUCUUUGGGCUCACUCGUUUUUGAAAAGUUUGAGACAUGCGAACCAUGUCUACUGGUGUAUAUGCAUGAAGAAACUCCAUGCAAAUGGACCGUUUGGACUCACUUGAUUUUGAAUCACUUGAGACAUGCAAAUCAUACCACAUGGGCAAGAUGACUGAAAGCCUCGUUUUCGGUAAAAUGGAACUAGAAAGCAAAUUGUUGGAAGUAAUACAUUUUGAUGUGUGCAGUCCAAUGAGUGCUGAGGCAUGUAGUGGAUAUUGUUAUGUUCUUACUUCACAGAUGAUUUGAGUAGAUGUUGAGUAUAUUUACUUGAUGAAUCAUGAGUCUGAAUUAUUGAAAGGUUCAAGUAAUUUCAGGGUGAAGUUGAAAGAUCAUCGUGACAAGAGGAUAAAAGAUCUAUGAUAUGAUCAUAGAGAUGAAUAUCUGAAUUACGAGUUUGGCACAGAAUUAAGACAUUGUGGAAAUUGUUUCACAACAAAUACAGCCUGGAACACCAUAGUGUGAUGGUGUGUCCGAACAUCAUAACUGCACCCUAUUGGAUAUGAUGCAUACCAUGAUGUCUCUUAUCGAAUUACCACGAUAGUUUAUGGGUUAGGCAUUAGAGACAACCACAUUUACUUUAAAUAGGGCACCACGUAAUUCCGAUGAGAUGACACCGUAUGAACUAUGAUUUAGAGAAACCUAAGCUGUCAUUUCUUAAAAGUUUGGGGCUGCGACGCUUAUGUGAAAAAGUUUCAGGCUGAUAAGCUCGAACCCAUAGCGGAUAAAUGCAUCUUCAUAGGACACCCAAAAACAGUUGGGUAUACCUCCUGUCUCAGAUCCAAAAGCAAUAAGGGAUUGUUUCUAGAAUCGGGUCCUUUCUCGAGGAAAAGUUCCUCUCGAAAAAAUUGAGUGGGAGGAUGGUGGGGACUUGAUAAGGUUGUUGAACCGUCUCUUCAACUAGUGUGUGGCAGGGCACAGGAAGUUGUUCCUGUGGCACCUACACCAAUUGAAGUGGAAGCUUAUGAUAGUGAUCAUGAAACUUCAGAUCAAGUCACUACCAAACCUCGUGGGAUGACAAGGAUGCGUACUACUUCAGAGUGGUACGUGAUCCUGUCUUGGAAGUCAUGUUGCUAGACAACAAUAAACCUACGAGCUAUGGAGAAGCGAUGAUGGGCCUGGAUUCCAAAAUGGCUCGAGGCCAUAUUGUUGGAAAUAUGCCCUAGAGGCAAUAAUAAAAGUAUUAUUAUAUUUCAUUGUUCAUGAUAAUUGUCUUUUAUUCAUGCUAUAACUGUAUUAUCCGGAAAUCAUAAUACACGUGUGAAUACAUAGACCACAAUAUGUCCCUAGUGAGCCUCUAGUUGACUAGCUCGUUGUGAUCAACAGAUAGUUAUGGUUUCCUGGCUAUGGACAUUGGAUGUCGUUGAUAACGGGAUCACAUCAUUAGGAGAAUGAUGUGAUGGACAAGACCCAAUCCUAAGCAUAGCACAAAGAUCGUGUAGUUCGUUUGCUAGAGCUUUGCCAAUGUCAAGUAUCUCUUCCUUUGACCAUGAGAGCGUGUAACUCCUGGAUACCGUAGGGGUGCUUUGGGUGUAUCAAACGUCACAACGUAACUAGGUGACUAUAAAGGUGCACUACAGGUAUCUCGCAUUACGGUACCCUCCUUGGGCCCACUCGAUAAUGCAUCAUCAUAAUGAGCUCAAGGUGACCAAUGUGUUGGCCACGGGAUCAUGCAUUACGGUACGAGUAAAGUGACUUGCCGGUAACGAGACUGAACAAGGUAUUAGGAUACCGACGAUCGAGUCUCGGGCAAGCAACGUACCGAUUGACAAAGGGAAUUGUAUACAGGGUUUGAUCGAAUCCUCGACAUCGUGGUUCAACCGAUGAAAUCAUCGAGGAGCGUGUGGGAGCCAACAUGGGUAUCCAGACCCCGCUAUUGGUUAUUGCCCGAGAGUGGUCUCGGUCAUGUCUGCAUGUCUCCCGAGCCCGUAGGGUCUACACACUUAAGGUUCGGUGACGCUAGGGUUGUUAGGAAGACUAGUAUGUGACUACCGAAUGUUGUUCGGAGUCCCGGAUGAGAUCCCGGACGUCACGAGGAGUUCCGGAAUGGUCCGGAGGUAAAGUUUUAUAUAUGUGAAGUUGUUAAACGGGCACCGGAAAGUUUCGGGGUUAUACCGGUAUUGUACCGGGACCACCGGAAGGGUUCCGAGGGUCCACCGGAAGGGGCCACCCCUCCCGGGGGGCCACUUGGGCUGCGUGGGUAUAGCAGCCAGCCCCUAGUGGGCUUGGCGCGCCCCCCUCCUUNNNNNNNNNNNNNNNNNNNNNNNNNNNNNNNNNNNNNNNNNNNNNNNNNNNNNNNNNNNNNNNNNNNNNNNNNNNNNNNNNNNNNNNNNNNNNNNNNNNNNNNNNNNNNNNNNNNNNNNNNNNNNNNNNNNNNNNNNNNNNNNNNNNNNNNNNNNNNNNNNNNNNNNNNNNNNNNNNNNUAGAGGGCCGGCCCCCCUUGCCCUUUCCCCUAUAUAUAAAGGGGUGAGGGGAGGGCUGCAACACACCAAUACUCAAGGCGCAGCCCCUCCCCUCCCCAACACAUCUCCUCCUUCGUACGUGCUUGGCGAAGCCCUGUCGGAAUACUGCCGCGUCAACUGCACCACGCCGUCGUGCUGCCGUUGGAGCUGCCUUCCUCAACCUCUCCUUCCUCCUUGCUGGAUCAAGAUGGAGGAGACGUCUCCCGUCCCGUACGUGUGUUGAACGUGGAGGUGUUGUCCGUUCAGCACUAGGACAUCGGUGAUCCGAAUCACGUUCGAGUACGACUCCAUCAUCGCCAUCUCCUUGGCAAGCUUCCGCUCGUGAUCUACAAGUGGUAUGUAGAUGCAAACUCUCUCCCUUGACUCGUUGCUUAGAUGAACUCAUAGAUGAAUCUUGGUGAAACCGUAGGAAAAAUUUUAAUUUUCUGCAACGUUCCCCAACAGUGGCAUCAUGAGCUAGGUCUAUGCGUAGUUCUCUUUGCACGAGUAGAACACAAUUUUGUUGUGGGCGUGGAUCUUGUCAUCUUACUUGCCUCUACUAGUCUUUUCUUGCUUCGGCGGUAUUGUGGGAUGAAGCGGCCCGGACCAACCUUACACGUACGCUUACGUGAGACCGGUUCCACCGACUAACAUGCACUAGUUGCAUAAGGUGGCUGGCGGGUGUCUGUCUCUCCCACUUUAGUUGGAGCGGAUUCGAUCAAAAGGGCCCUUAUGAAGGGUAAAUAGUAGUUGACAAAAUCACGUUGUGGUUAUUCGUAGGUAAGAAAAUGUUCUUGCUAGAACCCAAUUGCAGCCACGUAAAAGAUGCAACAACAAUUAGAGGACGUCUAACUUGUUUUUGCAGCAAUUGAUCAAGUGAUGUGAUAUGGCCAGAAGUUGUGAUGAAUGAUGAUUGUGAUGUAUGAGAUCAUGUUCUUUGUAAUAGGAUUCACGACUUGCAUGUCGAUGAGUAUGACAACCGGCAGGAGCCAUAGGAGUUGUCUUUAUUUUUUGUAUGACCUGUGUCAUUGAAGAACGCCAUGUAACUUACUUUACUUCAUUGCUAAACGCGUUAGUCAUAGAAGUAGAAGUAGUCGUUGGCGUGACAACUUCAUGAAGACACGAUGAUGGAGAUCAUGAUGAUGGAGAUCAUGGUGUCAAGCCGGUGACAAGAUGAUCAUGGAGCCCCGAAGAUGGAGAUCAAUGGAGCUAUAUGAUAUUGGCCAUAUCAUGUCACAACUAUAUAAUUGCAUGUGAUGUUUAUUAUGUUUAUGCAUCUUGUUUACUUAGGACGACGGUAGUAAAUAAGGUGAUCCCUUACAAAAUUUCAAGAAGUGUUCUCCCCUAACUGUGCACCGUUGCUACAGUUCGUCGCUUCUAAGCACCACGUGAUGAUCGGGUGUGAUGGAUUCUUACGUUCACAUACAACGGGUGUAAGACAGUUUUACACAGCGAAAACACUUAGGGUUAACUUGACGAGCCUAGCAUGUGCAGACAUGGCCUCGGAACACGGAGACCGAAAGGUCGAACACGAGUCGUAUGAAAGAUACGAUCAACAUGAGAAUGUUCACCGAUGAUGACUAGUCCGUCUCACGUGAUGAUCGGACACAGGCUAGUCGACUCGGAUCGUGUAACACUUAGAUGACUAGAGGGAUGUCUAAUCUAAGUGGGAGUUCAUAAUUUGAUUAGAACUUAAUUAUCAUGAACUUAGUCUAAAACCUUUGCAAAUAUGUCUUGUAGAUCAAAUGGCCAACGCUCAUGUCAACAUGAACUUCAACGCGUUUCUAGAGAAAACCAAGCUGAAAGAUGAUGGCAGCAACUAUACGGACUGGGUCCGGAACCUGAGGAUCAUCCUCAUAGCUGCCAGGAAACAAUAUGUCCUAGAAGGACCGCUAGGUGACGCUCCCGUCCCAGAGAACCAAGACAUUAUGAAUGCUUGGCAGUCUCGUGCUGAUGAUUACUCCCUCGUUCAGUGCGGCAUGCUUUACAGCUUAGAACCGGGGCUCCAAAAGCGUUUUGAGCAUCACGGAGCAUAUGAGAUGUUCGAAGAGCUGAAACUAGUUUUCCAAGCUCACGCCCGGGUCGAGAGAUAUGAUGUCUCCGACAAGUUCUACAGUUGUAAGAUGGAGGAAAACAGUUCUGUCAGUGAACACAUCCUGAAGAUGUCUGGGUUACACAACCGUAUGACCCAGCUAAAUAUUAACCUCCCAGAUGAGGCGGUCAUUGACAGAAUCCUCCAGUCGCUCCCACCAAGCUACAAGAGCUUUGUGAUGAACUACAAUAUGCAGGGGAUGGUAAAGACCAUUCCUGAAGUAUUUUCUAUGCUGAAGUCAGCAGAGGUUGAAAUCAAGAAAGAACAUCAAGUGUUGAUGGUCAAUAAGACCACUAAGUUCAAGAAGGGCAAGGGUAAGAAGAACUUCAAGAAGGACGGCAAGGAGGUUGCCGCGCCCGGUAAGCCAGUUGCCGGGAAGAAGUCAAAGAAUGGACCCAAGCCUGAGACUGAGUGCUUUUAUUGCAAGGGGAAGGGUCACUGGAAGAGGAACUGCCCCAAAUACUUAGCGGAUAAGAAGGCCGGCAACACCGAAGGUAUAUUUGAUAUACAUGUAAUUGAUGUGUACCUUACCAGUACUCGUAGUAACUCCUGGGUAUUUGAUACCGGUGCCGUUGCUCAUAUUUGUAACUCACAGCAGGAGCUGCGGAAUAAACGGAGACUGGCGAAGGACGAGGUGACGAUGCGCGUCAGGAAUGGUUCCAGAGUCGAUGUGAUCGCCGUCGGCACACUGCCUCUACAUUGACCUACGGGAUUAGUUUUGAACCUUAAUAAUUGUUAUUUAGUGCCAAGUUUGAGCAUGAACAUUGUAUCUGGAUCUCGUUUAAUUCGAGAUAGCUACUCAUUUAAGUCUGAGAAUAAUGGUUGUUCGAUUUAUAUGAGAGAUAUGUUUUAUGGUCAUGCUCCGAUGGUCAAUGGUUUAUUCUUAAUGAAUCUCGAGCGUAAUAUUACACAUGUUCAUAGUGUAGAUGCCAAAAGAUGUAAAGUUGAUAACGAUAGUCCCACAAACUUGUGGCACUACCGCCUUGGUCACAUUGGUGUCAAACGCAUGAAGAAGCUCCAUGCUGAUGGACUUUUGGAGUCUCUUGAUUAUGAAUCAUUUGACACAUGCGAACCAUGCCUCAUGGGCAAAAUGACCAAGACUCCGUUCUCCGGUACAAUGGAGCAAGCAACCAACUUGUUGGAAAUCAUACAUACCGAUGUGUGCGGUCCAAUGAGCGUUGAGGCUCGCAGAGGAUAUCGUUAUGUUCUCACUCUCACUGACGACUUAAGUAGAUAUGGGUAUAUCUACUUAAUGAAAUACAAGUCUGAGACCUUUGAAAAGUUCAAGGAAUUUCUGAAUGAGGUGGAGAAUCAACGUGACCGAAAGAUAAAGUUCCUACGAUCAGAUCGUGGAGGAGAAUAUUUAAGUCACGAAUUUGGCACGCACUUAAGGAAAUGUGGAAUCGUUUCACAACUCACGCCGCCUGGAACACCUCAGCGAAACGGUGUGUCCGAACGUCGUAAUCGCACUCUAUUGGAUAUGGUGCGGUCUAUGAUGUCUCUUACCGAUUUACCGCUAUCAUUUUGGGGAUACGCUCUAGAGACAGCUACAUUCACUUUAAAUAGGGCACCGUCUAAAUCCGUUGAGACGACACCGUAUGAAUUAUGGUUUGGGAAGAAACCUAAGCUGUCGUUUCUAAAAGUUUGGGGAUGUGAUGCUUAUGUCAAGAAACUUCAACCUGAAAAGCUCGAACCCAAGUCGGAAAAAUGCGUCUUCAUAGGAUACCCUAAGGAAACUGUAGGGUAUACCUUCUACUUAAGAUCCGAAGGCAAGAUCUUUGUUGCCAAAAACGGAUGCUUUCUGGAAAAAGAGUUCCUCUAGAAAGAAGUAAGUGGGAGGAAAGUAGAACUCGAUGAAGUACUACCUCUCGAACGGGAAAGUGGUGCAACUCAGGAAAAUGUUCCUGUGAUGCCCACACCAACUGAAGAGGAAACCAAUGAUGAUGAUCAAGGUACUUCGGAUGAAGUUGCUACUGAACUUCGUAGGUCCACAAGGACACGUUCCGCACCAGAGUGGUACGGCAACCCUGUCCUGGAAAUCAUGUUGUUAGACAACGGUGAACCUUCGAACUAUGAAGAUGUGAUGGCGGGCCCAGAUUCCAACAAAUGGCUAGAAGCCAUGAAAUCCGAGAUAGAAUCCAUGUAUGAAAAUAAAGUAUGGACUUUGACUGACUUGCCCGAUGAUCGGCGAGCGAUAGAAAACAAAUGGAUCUUUAAGAAGAAGACGGACGCGGAUGGAAAUGUUACCAUCUAUAAAGCUCGACUUGUCGCUAAGGGUUAUCGACAAGUUCAAGGGAUUGACUACGACGAGAAAUUCUCUCCCGUAGCGAAGCUUAAGUCCGUCCGAAUCAUGUUAGCAAUUGCCGCAUACUAUGAUUAUGAGAUAUGGCAGAUGGACGUCAAAACGGCAUUCCUUAACGGGCAUCUUAAGGAAGAGCUGUAUAUGAUGCAACCAGAAGGUUUUGUCGAUCCUAAGAACGCUAACAAAGUAUGCAAGCUCCAGCGAUCCAUUUAUGGGCUGGUGCAAGCAUCUCGGAGUUGGAAUAUUCGCUUUGAUGAGAUGAUCAAAGCGUUUGGGUUUAUGCAGACUUAUGGAGAAGCCUGCGUUUACAAGAAAGUGAGUGGGAGCUCUGUAGCAUUUCUCAUAUUAUAUGUGGAUGACAUACUCUUGAUGGGAAAUAAUAUAGAAUUUCUGGACAGCAUUAAGGCCUACUUGAACAAAUGUUUUUCAAUGAAGGACCUUGGAGAAGCUGCUUAUAUAUUAGGCAUCAAAAUCUAUAGAGAUAGAUCGAGACGCCUCAUAGGUCUUUCACAAAGCACAUACCUUGAUAAGAUUUUGAAAAAGUUCAAAAUGGAUGAGUCCAAGAAAGGGUUCUUGCCUAUGUUACAAGGUGUGAGAUUGAGCUCAGCUCAGUCACCGACCACGGCAAAAGAUAAAAAAGAGAUGAGUGUCAUCCCCUAUGCUUCAGCCAUAGGAUCUAUUAUGUAUGCCAUGAUGUGUACCAGACCUGAUGUAAACCUUGCCGUAAGUUUGGUAGCAAGAUACCAGAGUAAUCCCAGCAAGGAACACUGGACAGCGGUCAAGAAUAUCCUGAAGUACCUGAAAAGGACAAAGGACAUGUUUCUCGUUUAUGGAGGUGACGAAGAGCUCGUCGUAAAGGGUUACGUCAACGCUAGCUUCGACACAGAUCUGGAUGACUCUAAGUCACAAACCGGAUACGUGUAUAUGUUGAAUGGUGGAGCAGUAAGCUGGUGCAGCUGCAAGCAGAGCGUCGUGGCGGGAUCUACAUGUGAAGCGGAGUACAUGGCAGCCUCGGAGGCAGCGCAUGAAGCUAUUUGGGUGAAGGAGUUCAUCACCGACCUAGGAGUCAUACCCAAUGCGUCGGGGCCAAUCAAACUCUUCUGUGACAACACUGGAGCUAUUGCCCUUGCUAAGGAGCCCAGGUUUCACAAGAAGACCAGGCACAUCAAGCGUCGUUUCAACUCCAUCCGUGAAAAUGUUCAAGAUGGAGACAUAGAAAUUUGCAAAGUACAUACUGAUCUGAAUGUCGCUGAUCCGUUGACUAAACCUCUCUCGCGAGCUAAACAUGAUCAACACCAAAACUCUAUGGGUGUUCGAUUCAUCACAAUGUAACUAGAUUAGUGACUCUAGUGCAAGUGGGAGACUGUUGGAAAUAUGCCCUAGAGGCAAUAAUAAAAGUAUUAUUAUAUUUCAUUGUUCAUGAUAAUUGUCUUUUAUUCAUGCUAUAACUUUAUUAUCCGGAAAUCGUAAUACACGUGUGAAUACAUAGACCACAAUAUGUCCCUAGUGAGCCUCUAGUUGACUAGCUCGUUGUGAUCAACAGAUAGUUAUGGUUUCCUGGCUAUGGACAUUGGAUGUCGUUGAUAACGGGAUCACAUCAUUAGGAGAAUGAUGUGAUGGACAAGACCCAAUCCUAAGCAUAGCACAAAGAUCGUGUAGUUCGUUUGCUAGAGCUUUGCCAAUGUCAAGUAUCUCUUCCUUUGACCAUGAGAGCGUGUAACUCCUGGAUACCGUAGGGGUGCUUUGGGUGUAUCAAACGUCACAACGUAACUAGGUGACUAUAAAGGUGCACUACAGGUAUCUCCGAAAGUAUCUAUUGUUUUAUGCGGAUCGACACUGGGAUUUGUCACUCCGUAUGACGGAGAGGUAUCUCUGGGCCCACUCGGUAAUGCAUCAUCAUAAUGAGCUCAAGGUGACCAAUGUGUUGGCCACGGGAUCAUGCAUUAAGGUACGAGUAAAGUGACUUGCCGGUAACGAGACUGAACAAGGUAUUAGGAUACCGACGAUCGAGUCUCGGGCAAGUAACGUACCGAUUGACAAAGGGAAUUGUAUACAGGGUUUGAUCGAAUCCUCGACAUCGUGGUUCAACCGAUGAAAUCAUCGAGGAGCGUGUGGGAGCCAACAUGGGUAUCCAGACCCCGCUGUUGGUUAUUGCCCGAGAGUGGUCUCGGUCAUGUCUGCAUGUCUCCCGAGCCCGUAGGGUCUACACACUUAAGGUUCGGUGACGCUAGGGUUGUUAGGAAGACUAGUAUGUGACUACCGAAUGUUGUUCGGAGUCCCGGAUGAGAUCCCGAACGUCACGAGGAGUUCCGGAAUGGUCCGGAGGUAAAGUUUUAUAUAUGGGAAGUUGUUAAACGGGCACCAGAAAGUUUCGGGGUUAUAUCGGUAUUGUACCGGGACCACCGGAAGGGUUCCGAGGGUCCACCGGGAGGGGCCACCCCUCCCGGGGGGCCACUUGGGCUGCGUGGGUAUAGCAGCCAGCCCCUAGUGGGCUUGGCGCGCCCCCCUCCUUGGGCCCAUGCGCCUAGGGGUGGGGGGGGGGGGAAACCCUAAAGGGGGCGCACCCCCUUUGCUUGGGGGGCAAGCCCCCCACCCCUUGGCCGCCGCCCCCCCUAGGGUUUUCCCUAGAGGGCCGGCCCCCCUUGCCCUUUCCCCUAUAUAUAGAGGGGUGAGGGGAGGGCUGCAACACACCAAUACUCAAGGCGCAGCCCCUCCCCUCCCCAACACAUCUCCUCCUCCGUACGUGCUUGGCGAAGCCCUUUCGGAAUACUGCCGCGUCAACUGCACCACGCCGUCGUGCUGCCGUUGGAGCUGCCUUCCUCAACCUCUCCUUCCUCCUUGCUGGAUCAAGACGGAGGAGACGUCUCCCGUCCCGUACGUGUGUUGAACGCGGAGGUGCUGUCCGUUCAGCACUAGGACAUCGGUGAUCCGAAUCACGUUCGAGUACGACUCCAUCAUCGCCAUCUCCUUGGCAAGCUUCCGCUCGUGAUCUACAAGUGGUAUGUAGAUGCAAACUCUCUCCCUUGACUCGUUGCUUAGAUGAACUCAUAGAUGGAUCUUGGUGAGACCGUAGGAAAAAUUUUAAUUUUCUGCAACGUUCCCCAACACAUAUAAUCCGAGAAAGGAUCCAUAUAUGAAAACAAAGUGUAGACUUUGGAAGAACUACUUGAUGGUCGUAAGGCUGUUAGGUACAUAUGGAUUUUAAGAAGAAGACGGACAUAGACGGUAAUGUCACCGUCUAUGAAGCUCGACUUGUGGCGAAGAGUUUUUCACAAGUUCAAGGAGUUGACUAUGAUGAGACUUUCUCACUCGUAGCGAUGCUAAGAAUCUGUUGGAAUUAUAUUAGCGAUUACUGCAUUAUUUAUGAAAUCUUGCAGAUAGGAUGUCAAAACAUUGUUUCCUCGAUGAUUUUCUUGAGGAAAGGUUGUAUGUGAUACAACCGGAAGGUUUUGUCAAUCCUGAAAGAUGCUAAUAAGCAUGCAAAGCUCCAGCAAUCCUUCUAAGGACUGGAGUAAGCAUCUCGGAGUUGGAAUGUAUGCUUUGAUGAGAUGAUCAAAGAUUUUUGGUGUAUACAAAGUUUAUGAGAAACUUGUAUUUCCAAAGAAGUGAGUGGGAGCACUAUAGAAUUUCCGAUGAGUAUGUGUUGUUAACAUGUUGUUGAUCGGAAAUGAUGUAGAAUUUCUAGAAAGCAUGCAGAGCUAUUUGAAAAGUGUUUUUCAAUGGAAAGCCUGGAUUAAACUACUUGAACGUUGAGCAUCAAGAUCUAUAAGGAUAGAUCAAAACGCUUAAUGCUACUUUCAAAUGAGCACAUACCUUGACAUGAUCUUAAAGGUGUUCAAGAUGGAUCAGUCAAAGAAGGAGUUCUUGCCUGAGUUGUAAGGUAUGAAGUUAAGACUUAAAGCUCGACCACGGCAGAAGAAAGAGAAAGGACGAAUGUCGUCCCCUAUGCUUUUAUCAUAGGCUCUAUACGGUAUGCCAUGCUGAGUACCGCACCUGAUGUGUGCCUUGCCACAUGUCUGGCAAGAGGGUACAAAGGUGAUCCAGGAGUGGAUCACUAGAUAGCGGUCAAAAUUGUCCUUGGAGUAAUAAGGACAUGUUUCUCGAUUAUGGAGGUGAUAAAGAGUUCGGCGUAAAGGGUUACAUCGAUGCAAGCUUUAACACCUAUCCGAAUGACUCCGAGUAGCAAACCGGAUAAGUAUAGUGGAGCAACCAUUUGGAAUAGCUCCAAGUGGAGCGUGGAAGCAGCAUUUAUAAUAUGACCUAGAGAUUUGCGAAGUACAUAUGGAUCUGAAUGUUGCAGACCCGUUGACUAAAACCUCUCUCACAAGCAAAACAUGAUCGAACCCAGAACUCAUUGAGUCUUAAUCACAUGAUGAUGUGAACUAGUUUAGUGACACUAGUAAACUCUUUGGAUAUUGGUCACAUGGCGAUGUGACCUGUGAGUGUUAAUCACAUGGCGAUGUGAACUAGAUUAUUGACUCUAGUGCAAGUGGGAGACUAUUGGAAAUAUGCCCUAGAGGCAAUAAUAAAUUGAUUAUUAUUAUAUUUCCUUGUUCAUGAUAAUCGUUUAUUAUCCAUGCUAGAAUUGUGUUGAUAGGAAACUCAGAUACAUGUGUGGAUACAUAGACAACACCAUGUCCCUAGUAAGCCUCUAGUUGACUAGCUCGUUGAUCAAUAGAUGGUUAUGGUUUCCUGGCCAUGGAAAUUGGAUGUCGUUGAUGACGGGAUCACAUCAUUAGGAGAAUGAUGUGAUGGACAAGACCCAAUCCUAAGCAUAGCAUAGAUCGUGUAGUUCGUUUGCUAAAGCUUUUCUAAUGUCAAGUAUCAUUUCCUUAGACCAUGAGAUUGUGCAACUCCCGGAUACCGUAGGAAUACUUUGGGUGUGCCAAACGUCACAACGUAACUGGGUGGCUAUAAAGGUGCACUAUGAGUAUCUCCGAAAGUGUCUGUUGGGUUGGCACGAAUCGAGACUGGGAUUUGUCACUCCAUGUGACGGAGAGGUAUCUCUGGGCCCACUUGGUAGGACAUCAUCAUAAUGUGCAUAAUGUGAUCAAGGAGUUGAUCAUGUGAUGAUGUGUUACGAAAAGAGUAAAGAGACUUGCCGGUAACGAGAUUGAACAAGGUAUCGGAAUACCGACGAUCGAAUCUCGGGCAAGUACAACACCGCUAGACAAAGGGAAUUGUAUACGGGAUUGAUCGAAUCCUCGACAUCGUGGUUCAUCCGAUGAGAUCAUUGUGGAACAUGUGGGAACCAACAUGGGUAUCCAGAUCCCGCUGUUGGUUAUUGACCGGAGAAUGUCUCGGUCAUGUCUGCAUGGUUCCCGAACCCGUAGGGUCUACAGACUUAAGGUUCAAUGACGCUAGGGUUAUAAAGGAAGUUUGUAUGUGGUUACCGAAUGUUGUUCGGAGUCCCGGAUGAGAUUCCGGACGUCACGAGGAGUUCCCGAAUGGUCCGGAGGUAAAGAUUUAUAUAUGGGAAGUCCUGUUUUGGUCACCUGAAAAGUUUCGGGUUUUAUCGGUAACGUACCGGGACCACCGGGAGGGUCCCGGGGGUCCACCAAGUGGGGCCACAAGCCCCGGAGGGCAGCAUGGGCCAAGUGUGGGAGGGGACCAGCCCCAGGUGGGCUGGUGCGCCCCCCCACCAAGGCCCAAGGCGCAAGGGAGAGUGGAAGGGGGAAAACCCCAGGCUCAGAUGGGCCUAAGGCCCACCUAGUGGUGCGCCCCCCUCUCUCCCCCUUGGCCGCCCCCCCCCCCUAGAUGGGAUCUAGGGCUGGCCGCCACCCAUAGGGGUGGAAACCUAGGUGGGGCGCAGCCCCUCCCCCUAUAUAUACUUGAGGUUUUCGGCUGCCAGAGACAAGAGUUCCUCUCCUUCUUGGCGCAGCCCUACCCUCUCCCUCCUCGUCUCUUGCGGUGCUUGGCGAAGCCCUGUUGGAGUACCACACUCCUCCCACCACCACCACGCCGUUGUGCUGCUGCUGGAUGGAGUCUUCCUCAACCUCUCUCUCUCUUCUUGCUGGAUCAAGGCAUGGGAGACGUCACCGGGCUGUACGUGUGUUGAACGUGGAGGUGCCGUCCGUUCGGCACUAGGAUCUCCGGUGAUUUGGAUCACGACGAGUACGACUCCUUCAACCCGUUCUCUUGAACGCUUCCGCAUAGCGAUCUACAAGGGUAUGUAGAUGCACUCUCCUUCCCCUCGUUGCUGGUUUCUCCAUAGAUAGAUCUUGGUGACACGUAGGAAAAUUUUGAAUUUCUGCUACGUUCCCCAACAGUGGCAUCAUGAGCUAGGUCUAUGCGUAGUUUCUAUGCACGAGUAGAACACAAAGUAGUUGUGGGCGUUGAUUUUAUUCAAUAUGCUUACCGUUACUAGUCCAAUCUUGAUUCAGCGGCAUUGUGGGAUGAAGCGGCCCGAACCGACCUUACACGUACUCUUACGUGAGACUGGUUCCACCGACUGACAUGCACUAGUUGCAUAAGGUGGCUAGCGGGUGUCUGUCUCUCCCACUUUAGUCGGAUCGGAUUCGAUGAAAAGGGUCCUUAUGAAGGGUAAAUAGCAAUUGGCAUAUCACGUUGUGGUUUUUGCGUAGGUAAGAAACGUUCUUGCUAGAAACCCAUAGCAGCCACAUAAAACAUGCAAACAACAAUUAGAGGACGUCUAACUUGUUUUUGCAGGGUAUGCUAUGUGAUGUGAUAUGGCCAAAAGGAUGUGAUGAAUGAUAUAUGUGAUGUAUGAGAUUGAUCAUGUUCUUGUAAUAGGAAUCACGACUUGCAUGUCGAUGAGUAUGACAACCGACAGGAGCCAUAGGAGUUGUGUUUAUUUAUUGUAUGACAUGCGUGUCAUUGAACAACACCAUGUAAUUACUUUACUUUAUUGCUAACUGGUAGCCAUAGUAGUAGAAGUAAUAGUUGGCGAGCAACUUCAUGGAGACACGAUGAUGGAGAUCAUGGUGUCAUGCCGGUGACAAGAUGAUCAUGGAGCCCGAAGAUGGAGAUCAAAGGAGCUAUAUGAUAUUGGCCAUAUCAUGUCACUAUUAUUUGAUUGCAUGUGAUGUUUAUCAUGUUUUUGCAUCUUGUUUACUUAGAACGACGGUAGUAAAUAAGAUGAUCCCUCAUGAUAAUUUCAAGAAAGUGUUCCCCCUAACUGUGCACCGUUGCGACAGUUCGUUGUUUCGAAGCACCACGUGAUGAACGAGUGUGAUAGAUUCUAACGUUCACAUACAACGGGUGUAAGACAGAUUUACACACGCGGAACACUUAGGUUGACUUGACGAGCCUAGCAUGUACAGACAUGGCCUCGGAACACAAGAGACUGAAAGGUCGAGCAUGAGUCGUAUGGUAGAUACGAUCAACAUGAAGAUGUUCACCGAUGAUGACUAGUCCGUCUCACGUGAUGAUCGGACACGGCCUAGUUGACUCGGAUCAUGUAAUCACUUAGAUGACUAGAGGGAUGUCUAUCUGAGUGGGAGUUCAUAAGAUGAACUUAAUUAUCCUAAACAUAGUCAAAAGAUCUUCGCAACUUAUGUCGUAGCUCGCGCUUCAGUUCUACUGUUUAGAUAUGUUCCUAGAGAAAAUUUAGUUGAAAGUUGAUAGUAGCAAUUAUGCGGACUAGGUCCGUAAACUGAGGAUUGUCCUCAUUGCUUCAUAGAAGGCUUAUGUCCUUAAUGCACCGCUCAGUGUGCUGAACCUCGAACGUCGUCUGUGGAUGUUGCGAACAUCUGACAUACACAUUUUGAUAACUACGUGAUAGUUCAGUUAAACACUUUAGAGUUGAGGCACCGAAGACGUUUUGAAACGUCGUGAAACAUAUGAGAUGUUUCGAGGGCUGAAAUUGGGAUUUCAGGCUCGUGCCCACGUCAAGAGGUAUAAGACCUCCGAUGAUUUUCUUAGCCUGCAAACUAAGGGAGAAAAGCUCAAUUGUUGAGCUUCUGCUCAGAUUGUCUGAGUACAACGAUCAUUUGAUUCGAGUGGGAGUUGAUCUUCCAGAUGAGAUAGUGAUAUUUCUCCGAAGUCAUUGCCACCAAGCUGCUAGAGUUUCGUGAUGAACUAUAACAUAUCAGGGAUAGAUAUGAUGAUCCUUGAAAUAUUCGCGAUGUUUGACACCGCGAAAGUAGAAAUCAAGAAGGAGCAUCAAUUGUUGAUGGUUAGUGAAACCACUAGUUUCAAGAAGGGCAAGGGCAAGAAGGGAUACUUCAUGAAAUGGCAAUUCAGCUGCUGCUCUAAUGAAGAAACCCAAAGUUGAACCCAAACCCGAGACUAAGUGCUUCUGUAAUAAGGGGAACAACCACUGGAGCAGAAUUACCCUGGAUACUUGGUAGAUGAGAAGGUUGGCAAGGUCGGUAGAAGUAUAUUGGAUAUACAUUGUGUUAAUGUGUACUUUACUAGUACUCCUAGUAGCACCAGGGUAUUAGAUACCGGUUCGGUUACUAAGUGUUAGCAACUCGAAAUAAAAGCUACGGAAUAAACGGAGACUAGCUAAAAGGUGAGAUGACGAUAUGUGUUGGAAGUAUUUCCAAGGUUGAUCAAAUAUCGUACGCUCCCUCUACCAUCAAGAUUGGUGUUUGCGUUGAGCAUAGACAUGAUUGGAUUAUGUCUAUCGCAAUACGGUUAUUCAUUUAAGGAGAAUAAUGGUUACUCUGUUUAUUUGAAUAAUACCUUCAAUGGUCUUGCACCUAAAAUGAAUGGUUUAUUGAAUCUCGAUCGUAGUGAUACACAUGUUCGUGCAAAGAGAUAUAAGAUAGUAAUGCUAGUACCACCUACUUGUGGCACUGCCACAUAAGUCAUAUCGGUAUAAAGCGCAUGAAGAAGCUCCAUGUUGAUGGAUCUUUGGGCUCACUCGUUUUUGAAAAGUUUGAGACAUGCGAACCAUGUCUAUUGGUGUAUAUGCAUGAAGAAACUCCAUGCAAAUGGACCGUUUGGACUCACUUGAUUUUGAAUCACUUGAGACAUGCAAAUCAUACCACAUGGGCAAGAUGACCGAAAGCCUCGUUUUCAGUAAAAUGGAACUAGAAAGCAACUUGUUGGAAGUAAUACAUUUUGAUGUGUGCAGUCCAAUGAGUGCUGAGGCAUGUAGUGGAUAUCGUUAUGUUCUUACUUCACAGAUGAUUUGAGUAGAUGUUGAGUAUAUUUACUUGAUGAAUCAUGAGUCUGAAUUAUUGAAAGGUUCAAGUAAUUUCAGGGUGAAGUUGAAAGAUCGUCGUGACAAGAGGAUAAAAGAUCUAUGAUAUGAUCAUAGAGAUGAAUAUCUGAAUUACGAGUUUGGCACAGAAUUAAGACAUUGUGGAAAUUGUUUCACAACAAAUACAGCCUGGAACACCAUAGUGUGAUGGUGUGUCCGAACAUCAUAACUGCACCCUAUUGGAUAUGAUGCAUACCAUGAUGUCUCUUAUCGAAUUACCACGAUAGUUUAUGGGUUAGGCAUUAGAGACAACCACAUUUACUUUAAAUAGGGCACCACGUAAUUCCGAUGAGAUGACACCGUAUGAACUAUAGUUUAGAGAAACCUAAGCUGUCAUUUCUUAAAAGUUUGGGGCUGCGACGCUUAUGUGAAAAAGUUUCAGGCUGAUAAGCUCGAACCAAAGCGGAUAAAUGCAUCUUCAUAGGACACCCAAAAACAGUUGGGUAUACCUCCUGUCUCAGAUCCAAAAGCAAUAAGGGAUUGUUUCUAGAAUUGGGUCCUUUCUCGAGGAAAAGUUUCUCUCGAAAGAAUUGAGUGGGAGGAUGGUGGGGACUUGAUAAGGUUAUUGAACAGUCUCUUCAACUAGUGUGUGGCAGGGCACAGGAAGUUGUUCCUGUGGCACCUACACCAAUUGAAGUGGAAGCUUAUGAUAGUGAUCAUGAAACUUCAGAUCAAGUCACUACCAAACCUCGUGGGAUGACAAGGAUGCGUACUACUUCAGAGUGGUACGUGAUCCUGUCUUGGAAGUCAUGUUGCUAGACAACAAUGAACCUACGAGAUAUGGAGAAGCGAUGGUGGGCCUGGAUUCCAAAAUGGCUCGAGGCCAUAUAAUCCGAGAAAGGAUCCAUAUAUGAAAACAAAGUGUAGACUUUGGAAGAACUACUUGAUGGUCGUAAGGCUGUUAGGUACAUAUGGAUUUUAAGAAGAAGACGGACGUAGAUGGUAAUGUCACCGUCUAUGAAGCUCGACUUGUGGCGAAGAGUUUUUCACAAGUUCAAGGAGUUGACUAUGAUGAGACUUUCUCACUCGUAGCGAUGCUAAGAAUCUGUUGGAAUUAUAUUAGCGAUUACUGCAUUAUUUAUGAAAUCUUGCAGAUAGGAUGUCAAAACAUUGUUUCCUCGACGAUUUUCUUGAGGAAAGGUUGUAUGUGAUACAACCGGAAGGUUUUGUCAAUCCUGAAAGAUGCUACUAAGUAUGCAAAGCUCCAGCAAUCCUUCUAAGGACUGGAGUAAGCAUCUCGGAGUUGGAAUGCAUGCUUUGAUGAGAUGAUCAAAGAUUUUGGGUGUAUACAAAGUUUAUGAGAAACUUGUAUUUCCAAAGAAGUGAGUGGGAGCACUAUAGAAUUUCCGAUGAGUAUGUGUUGUUAACAUGUUGUUGAUCGGAAAUGAUGUAGAAUUUCUAGAAAGCAUGCAGAGCUAUUUGAAAAGUGUUUUUCAAUGGAAAGCCUGGAUUAAACUACUUGAACGUUGAGCAUCAAGAUCUAUAAGGAUAGAUCAAAACGCUUAAUGGUACUUUCAAAUGAGCACAUACCUUGACAUGAUCUUAAAGGUGUUCAAGAUGGAUCAGUCAAAGAAGGAGUUCUUGCCUGAGUUGUAAGGUAUGAAGUUAAGACUUAAAGCUCGACCACGGCAGAAGAAAGAGAAAGGACGAAUGUCGUCCCCUAUGCUUUUGUCAUAGGCUCUAUACGGUAUGCCAUGCUGAGUACCGCACCUGAUGUGUGCCUUGCCACAUGUCUGGCAAGAGAGUACAAAGGUGAUCCAGGAGUGGAUCACUAGAUAGCGGUCAAAAUUGUCCUUGGAGUAAUAAGGACAUGUUUCUCGAUUAUGGAGGUGAUAAAGAGUUCGGCGUAAAGGGUUACAUUGAUGCAAGCUUUAACACCUAUCCGAAUGACUCUGAGUAGCAAACCGGAUACGUAUAGUGGAGCAACCAUUUGGAAUAGCUCCAAGUGGAGCGUGGAAGCAACAUUUAUAAUAUGACCUAGAGAUUUGCGAAGUACAUACGGAUCUGAAUGUUGCAGACCCGUUGACUAAAACCUCUCUCACAAGCAAAACAUGAUCAAACCCAGAACUCAUUGAGUCUUAAUCACAUGAUGAUGUGAACUAGUUUAGUGACACUAGUAAACUCUUUGGAUAUUGGUCACAUGGCGAUGUGACCUGUGAGUGUUAAUCACAUGGCGAUGUGAACUAGAUUAUUGACUCUAGUGCAAGUGGGAGACUGUUGGAAAUAUGCCCUAGAGGCAAUAAUAAAUUGAUUAUUAUUAUAUUUCCUUGUUCAUGAUAAUCGUUUAUUAUCCAUGCUAGAAUUGUGUUGAUAGGAAACUCAGAUACAUGUGUGGAUACAUAGACAACACCAUGUCCCUAGUAAGCCUCUAGUUGACUAGCUCGUUGAUCAAUAGAUGGUUACGGUUUCCUGGCCAUGGACAUUGGAUGUCGUUGAUGACGGGAUCACAUCAUUAGGAGAAUGAUGUGAUGGACAAGACCCAAUCCUAAGCAUAGCAUAGAUCGUGUAGUUUGUUUGCUAAAGCUUUUCUAAUGUCAAGUAUCAUUUCCUUAGACCAUGAGAUUGUGCAACUCCCGGAUACCGUAGGAAUACUUUGGGUGUGCCAAACGUCACAACAUAACUGGGUGGCUAUAAAGUUGCACUACGAGUAUCUCCGAAAGUGUCUGUUGGGUUGGCACGAAUCGAGAGUGGGAUUUGUCACUCCGUGUGACGGAGAGGUAUCUCUGGGCCCACUCGGUAGGACAUCAUCAUAAUGUGCACAAUGUGAUCAAGGAGUUGAUCACGUGAUGAUGUGUUAUGGAACGAGUAAAGAGACUUGCCGGUAACGAGAUUGAACAAGGUAUCAGGAUACCGACGAUCGAAUCUCGGGCAAGUACAAUACCGCUAGACAAAGGGAAUUGUAUACGGGAUUGAUCGAAUCCUCGACAUCGUGGUUCAUCUGAUGAGAUCAUCGUGGAACAUGUGGGAACCAACAUGGGUAUGCAGAUCCCGCUGUUGGUUAUUGACCGGAGAACGUCUCGGUCAUGUCUGCAUGGUUCCCGAACCCGUAGGGUCUACACACUUAAGGUUCGAUGACGCUAGGGUUAUAAAGGAAGUUUGUAUGUGGUUACCGAAUGUUGUUCGGAGUCCCGGAUGAGAUCCCGGACGUCACGAGGAGUUCCGGAGUGGUCCGGAGGUAAAGAUUUAUAUAUGGGAAGUCUUGUUUUGGUCACCUGAAAAGUUUCGGGUUUUAUCGGUAACGUACCGGGACCACCGGGAGGGUCCCGGGGGUCCACCAAGUGGGGCCACAAGCCCCGGAGGGCAGCAUGGGCCAAGUGUGGGAGGGGACCAGCCCCAGGUGGGUUGGUGCGCCCCCCACCAAGGCCCAAGGUGCAAGGGCGAGUGGAAGGGGGCAAACCCUAGGCUCAGGUGGGCCUAAGGCCCACCUAGUGGUGCGCCCCCCUCUCUCCCCCUUGGCCGCCCCCCUAGAUGGGAUCUAGGGCUGGCCGCCACCCAUAGGGGUGGAAACCUAGGUGGGGCGCAGCCCCUCCCCCCCUAUAUAUACUUGAGGUUUUGGGCUGCCAGAGACAAGAGUUCCUCUCCUUCUUGGCGCAGCCCUACCCUCUCUCUCCUCGUCUCUUGCGGUGCUUGGCGAAGCCCUGCCGGAGUACCACGCUCCUCCACCACCACCACGCCGUUGUGCUGCUGCUGGAUGGAGUCUUCCUCAACCUCUCCCUCUCUCCUUGCUGGAUCAAGGCAUGGGAGACGUCACCGGGCUGUACGUGUGUUGAACAUGGAGGUGCCGUCCGUUCGGCACUAGGAUCUCCGGUGAUUUGGAUCACGAUGAGCAUGACUCCUUCAACCCGUUCUCUUGAACGCUUCCGCAUAGCGAUCUACAAGGGUAUGUAGAUGCACUCUCCUUCCCCUCGUUGCUGGUUUCUCCAUAGAUAGAUCUUGGUGACACGUAGGAAAAUUUUGAAUUUCUGCUACGUUCCCCAACAGUGGCAUCAUGAGCUAGGUCUAUGCGUAGUUGCUAUGCACGAGUAGAACACAAAGUAGUUGUGGGCGUUGAUUUUAUUCAAUAUGCUUACCAUUACUAGUCCAAUCUUGAUUCAGCGGCAUUGUGGGAUGAAGCGGCCCGGACCGACCUUACACGUACUCUUACGUGAGACUGGUUCCACCGACUGACAUGCACUAGUUGCAUAAGGUGGCUAGCGGGUGUCUGUCUCUCCCACUUUAGUCGGAUCGGAUUCGAUGAAAAGGGUCCUUAUGAAGGGUAAAUAGCAAUUGGCAUACCACGUUGUGGUUUUUGCGUAGGUAAGAAACGUUCUUGCUAGAAACCCAUAGCAGCCACGUAAAACAUGCAAACAACAAUUAGAGGACGUCUAACUUGUUUUUGCAGGGUAUGCUAUGUGAUGUGAUAUGGCCAAAAGGAUGUGAUGAAUGAUAUAUGUGAUGUAUGAGAUUGAUCAUGUUCUUGUAAUAGGAAUCACGACUUGCAUGUCGAUGAGUAUGACAACGGACAGGAGCCAUAGGAGUUGUGUUUAUUUAUUGUAUGACAUGCGUGUCAUUGAACAACGCCAUGUAAUUACUUUACUUUAUUCCUAACCGGUAGCCAUAGUAGUAGAAGUAAUAGUUGGCAAGCAACUUCAUGGAGACACGAUGAUGGAGAUCAUGAUGAUGGAGAUCAUGGUGUCAUGCCGGUGACAAGAUGAUCAUGGAGCCCCAAGAUGGAGAUCAAAGGAGCUAUAUGAUAUUGGCCAUAUCAUGUCACUAUUAUUUGAUUGCAUGUGAUGUUUAUCAUGUUUUAGCAUCUUGUUUACUUAGAAUGACGGUAGUAAAUAAGAUGAUCCCUCAUGAUAAUUUCAAGAAAGUGUUCCCCCUAACUGUGCACCAUUGCGACAGUUCGUUGUUUCGAAGCACCACGUGAUGAUCGGGUGUGAUAGAUUCUAACGUUCACAUACAAUGGGUGUAAGACAGAUUUACACACGCGAAACACUUAGGUUGACUUGACGAGCCUAGCAUGUACAGACAUGGCCUUGGAACACAAGAGACCGAAAGGUCGAGCAUGAGGCGUAUGGUAGAUACGAUCAACAUGAAGAUGUUCACCGAUGAUGACUAGUCCGUCUCACGUGAUGAUCGGACACGGCCUAGUUGACUCGGAUCAUGUAAUCACUUAGAUGACUAGAGGGAUGUCUAUCUGAGUGGGAGUUCAUAAGAUGAACUUAAUUAUCCUGAACAUAGUCAAAAGAUCUUCGCAAAUUAUGUCGUAGCUCGCGCUUCAGUUCUACUGUUUAGAUAUGUUCCUAGAGAAAAUUUAGUUGAAAGUUGAUAGUAGCAAUUAUGUGGACUAGGUCCGUAAACUGAGGAUUGUCCUCAUUGCUUCAUAGAAGGCUUAUGUCCUUAAUGCACCGCUCAGUGUGCUGAACCUCGAACAUCGUCUGUGGAUGUUGCGAACAUCUGACAUACACAUUUUGGUAACUACGUGAUAGUUCAGUUAAACGGUUUAGAGUUGAGGCACCGAAGACGUUUUGAAACGUCGCGAAACAUAUGAGAUGUUUCGAGGGCUGAAAUUGGGAUUUCAGGCUCGUGCCCACGUCAAGAGGUAUAAGACCUCCGAAGAUUUUCUUAGCCUGCAAACUAAGGGAGAAAAGCUCAAUUGUUGAGCUUGUGCUCAGAUUGUGUGAGUACAACAAUCAUUUGAUUCGAGUGGGAGUUGAUCUUCCAGAUGAGAUAGUGAUAUUUCUCCGAAGUCAUUGCCACCAAGCUGCUAGAGCUUCGUGAUGAACUAUAACAUAUCAGGGAAAGAUAUGAUGAUCCUUGAAAUAUUCGCGAUGUUUGACACCGCGAAAGUAGAAAUCAAGAAGGAGCAUCAAUUGUUGAUGGUUAGUGAAACCACUAGUUUCAAGAAGGGCAAGGGCAAGAAGGGAUACUUCAUGAAACGGCAAUUCAGCUGCUGCUCUAAUGAAGAAACCCAAAGUUGAACCCAAACCCGAGACUAAGUGCUUCUGUAAUAAGGGGAACAGCCACUGGAGCAGAAUUACCCUGGAUACUUGGUAGAUGAGAACGCUGGCAAGGUCGGUAGAAGUAUAUUGGAUAUACAUUGUGUUAAUGUGUACUUUACUAGUACUUCUAGUGGCACCAGGGUAUUAGAUACCAGUUCGGUUACUAAUUGUUAGUAACUCGAAAUAAAAGCUACGGAUUAAACGGAGACUAGCUAAAAGGUGAGAUGACGAUAUGUGUUGGAAGUAUUUCCAAGGUUGAUCAAAUAUCGUACGCUCCCUCUACCAUCAAGAUUGGUGUUUGCGUUGAGCAUAGACAUGAUUGGAUUAUGUCUAUCGCAAUACGGUUAUUCAUUUAAGGAGAAUAAUGGUUACUCUGUUUAUUUGAAUAAUACCUUCAAUGGUCUUGCACCUAAAAUGAAUGGUUUAUUGAAUCUCGAUCGUAGUGAUACACAUGUUCAUGCCAAGAGAUAUAAGAUAAUAAUGCUAGUACCACCUACUUGUGGCAAUGCCACGUAAGUCAUAUCGGUAUAAAACACAUGAAGAAGCUCCAUGUUGAUGGAUCUUUGGGCUCACUCGUUUUUGAAAAGUUUGAGACAUGCGAACCAUGUCUACUGGUGUAUAUGCAUGAAGAAACUCCAUGCAAAUGGACCGUUUGGACUCACUUGAUUUUGAAUCACUUGAGACAUGCAAAUCAUACCACAUGGGCAAGAUGACUGAAAGCCUCGUUUUCGGUAAAAUGGAACUAGAAAGCAACUUGUUGGAAGUAAUACAUUUUGAUGUGUGCAGUCCAAUGAGUGCUGAGGCAUGUAGUGGAUAUCGUUAUGUUCUUACUUCACAGAUGAUUUGAGUAGAUGUUGAGUAUAUUUACUUGAUGAAUCAUGAGUCUGAAUUAUUGAAAGGUUCAAGUAAUUUCAGGGUGAAGUUGAAAGAUCAUCGUGACAAGAGGAUAAAAGAUCUAUGAUAUGAUCAUAGAGAUGAAUAUCUGAAUUACGAGUUUGGCACAAAAUUAAGACAUUGUGGAAAUUGUUUCACAACAAAUACAUCCUGGAACACCAUAGUGUGAUGGUGUGUCCGAACAUCAUAACUGCACCCUAUUGGAUAUGAUGCAUACCAUGAUGUCUCUUAUCGAAUUACCACGAUAGUUUAUGGGUUAGGCAUUAGAGACAACCACAUUUACUUUAAAUAGGGCACCACGUAAUUCCGAUGAGAUGACACCGUAUGAACUAUGGUUUAGAGAAACCUAAGCUGUCAUUUCUUAAAAGUUUGGGGCUGCGACGGUUAUGUGAAAAAGUUUCAGGCUGAUAAGCUCGAACCAAAGCGGAUAAAUGCAUCUUCAUAGGACACCCAAAAACAGUUGGGUAUACCUCCUGUCUCAGAUCCAAAAGCAAUAAGGGAUUGUUUCUAGAAUCGGGUCCUUUCUCGGGGAAAAGUUUCUCUCGAAAGAAUUGAGUGGGAGGAUGGUGGGGACUUGAUAAGGUUAUUGAACCGUCUCUUCAACUAGUGUGUGGCAGGGCACAGGAAGUUGUUCCUGUGGCACCUACACCAAUUGAAGUGGAAGCUUAUGAUAGUGAUCAUGAAACUUCAGAUCAAGUCACUACCAAACCUCGUGGGAUGACAAGGAUGCGUACUACUUCAGAGUGGUACGUGAUCCUGUCUUGGAAGUCAUGUUGCUAGAUAACAAUGAACCUACGAGCUAUGGAGAAGCGAUGGUGGGCCUGGAUUCCAAAAUGGCUCGAGGCCAUAUAAUCCGAGAAAGGAUCCAUAUAUGAAAACAAAGUGUAGACUUUGGAAGAACUACUUGAUGGUCGUAAGGCUGUUAGGUACAUAUGGAUUUUAAGAAGAAGACGGACGUAGACGGUAAUGUCACCGUCUAUGAAGCUCGACUUGUGGCGAAGAGUUUUUCACAAGUUCAAGGAGUUGACUAUGAUGAGACUUUCUCACUCGUAGCGAUGCUAAGAAUCUGUUGGAAUUAUAUUAGCGAUUACUGCAUUAUUUAUGAAAUCUUGCAGAUAGGAUGUCAAAACAUUGUUUCCUCGAUGAUUUUCUUGAGGAAAGGUUGUAUGUGAUACAACCGGAAGGUUUUGUCAAUCCUGAAAGAUGCUAAUAAGUAUGCAAAGCUCCAGCAAUCCUUCUAAGGACUGGAGUAAGCAUCUCGGAGUUGGAAUGCAUGCUUUGAUGAGAUGAUCAAAGAUUUUGGGUGUAUACAAAGUUUAUGAGAAACUUGUAUUUCCAAAGAAGUGAGUCGGAGCAUUAAGAAAUUUCUGAUGAGUAUGUGUUGUUAACAUGUUGUUGAUCGGAAAUGAUGUAGAAUUUCUAGAAAGCAUGCAGAGCUAUUUGAAAAGUGUUUUUCAAUGGAAAGCCUGGAUUAAACUACUUGAACGUUGAGCAUCAAGAUCUAUAAGGAUAGAUCAAAACGCUUAAUGCUACUUUCAAAUGAGCACAUACCUUGACAUGAUCUUAAAGGUGUUCAAGAUGGAUCAGUCAAAGAAGGAGUUCUUGCCUGAGUUGUAAGGUAUGAAGUUAAGACUUAAAGCUCGACCACGACAGAAGAAAGAGAAAGGACGAAUGUCGUCCCCUAUGCUUUUGUCAUAGGCUCUAUACGGUAUGCCAUGCUGAGUACCGCACCUGAUGUGUGCCUUGCCACAUGUCUGGCAAGAGGGUACAAAGGUGAUCCAGGAGUGGAUCACUAGAUAGCGAUCAAAAUUGUCCCUGGAGUAAUAAGGACAUGUUUCUCGAUUAUGGAGGUGAUAAAGAGUUCGGCGUAAAGGGUUACAUCGAUGCAAGCUUUAACACCUAUCCGAAUGACUCUGAGUAGCAAACCGGAUACGUAUAGUGGAGCAACCAUUUGGAAUAGCUCCAAGUGGAGCGUGGAAGCAGCAUUUAUAAUAUGACCUAGAGAUUUGCGAAGUACAUACGGAUCUGAAUGUUGCAGACCCGUUGACUAAAACCUCUCUCACAAGAAAAACAUGAUCAAACCCAGAACUCAUUGAGUCUUAAUCACAUGAUGAUGUGAACUAGUUUAGUGACACUAGUAAACUCUUUGGAUAUUGGUCACAUGGCGAUGUGACCUGUGAGUGUUAAUCACAUGGCGAUGUGAACUAGAUUAUUGACUCUAGUGCAAGUGGGAGACUGUUGGAAAUAUGCCCUAGAGGAAAUAAUAAAUUGAUUAUUAUUAUAUUUCCUUGUUCAUGAUAAUCGUUUAUUAUCCAUGCUAGAAUUGUGUUGAUAGGAAACUCAGAUACAUGUGUGGAUACAUAGACAACACCAUGUCCCUAGUAAGCCUCUAAUUGACUAGCUCGUUGAUCAAUAGAUGGUUACGGUUUCCUGGCCAUGGACAUUGGAUGUCGUUGAUGACGGGAUCAUAUCAUUAGGAGAAUGAUGUGAUGGACAAGACCCAAUCCUAAGCAUAGCAUAGAUCGUGUAGUUCGUUUGCUAAAGCUUUUCUAAUGUCAAGUAUCAUUUCCUUAGACCAUGAGAUUGUGCAACUCCCGGAUACCGUAGGAAUACUUUGGGUGUGCCAAACAUCACAACAUAACUGGGUGGCUAUAAAGGUGCACUACGAGUAUCUCCGAAAGUGUCUGUUGGGUUGGCACGAAUCGAGACUGGGAUUUGUCACUCCGUGUGACGGAGAGGUAUCUCUGGGCCCACUCGGUAGGACAUCAUCAUAAUGUGCACAAUGUGAUCAAGGAGUUGAUCACGUGAUGAUGUGUUACGGAACGAGUAAAGAGACUUGCCGGUAACGAGAUUGAACAAGGUAUCACGAUACCGGCGAUCGAAUCUCGGGCAAGUACAAUACCGCUAGAUAAAGGGAAUUGUAUACGGGAUUGAUCGAAUCCUCGACAUCGUGGUUCAUCCGAUGAGAUCAUCAUGGAACAUGUGGAAACCAACAUGGGUAUCCAGAUCCCGCUGUUGGUUAUUGACCGGAGAACGUCUCGGUCAUGUCUGCAUGGUUCCCGAACCCGUAGGGUCUACACACUUAAGGUUCAAUGACGCUAGGGUUAUAAAGGAAGUUUGUAUGUGGUUACCGAAUGUUGUUCGGAGUCCCGGAUGAGAUCCCGGACGUCACGAGGAGUUCCAGAAUGGUCCGGAGGUAAAGAUUUAUAUAUGGGAAGUCCUGUUUUGGUCACCUGAAAAGUUUCGGGUUUUAUCGGUAACGUACCGGGACCACCGGGAGGGUCCCGGGGGUCCACCAAGUGGGGACACAAGCCCCGGAGGGCAGCAUGGGCCAUGUGUGGGAGGGGACCAGCCCCAGGUGGGUUGGUGUUCCCCCCACCAAGGCCCAAGGUGCAAGGGAGAGUGGAAGGGGGCAAACCCUAGGCUCAGAUGGGCCUAAGGCCCACCUAGUGGUGCGCCCCCCUCUCUCCCCCUUGGCCGCCCCCCCUAGAUGGGAUCUAGGGCUGGCCGCCACCCAUAGGGGUGGAAACCUAGGUGGGGUGCAGCCCCUCCCCCCUAUAUAUACUUGAGGUUUUGGGCUGCCAGAGACAAGAGUUCCUCUCCUUCUUGGCGCAGCCCUACCCUCUCCCUCCUCGUCUCUUGCGGUGCUUGGCGAAGCCCUGCUGGAGUACCACGCUCCUCCACCACCACCACGCCGUUGUGCUGCUGCUGGAUGGAGUCUUCCUCAACCUCUCCCUCUCUCCUUGCUGGAUCAAGGCAUGGGAGACGUCAUCGGGCUGUACGUGUGUUGAACGUGGAGGUGCCGUCCGUUCGGCACUAGGAUCUCCGGUGAUUUGGAUCACGAUGAGUACGACUCCUUCAACCCGUUCUCUUGAACGCUUCCGCAUAGUGAUCUACAAGGGUAUGUAGAUGCACUCUCCUUCCCCACGUUGCUGGUUUCUCCAUAGAUAGAUCUUGGUGACACGUAGGAAAAUUUUGAAUUUCUGCUACGUUCCCCAACAGUGGCAUCAUGAGGUAGGUCUAUGCGUAGUUUCUAUGCACGAGUAGAACACAAAGUACUUGUGGGCAUUGAUUUUAUUCAAUAUGCUUACCGUUACUAGUCCAAUCUUGAUUCAGCGGCAUUGUGGGAUGAAGCGGCCCGGACCGACCUUACACGUACUCUUACGUGAGACUAGGUCCACCGACUGACAUGCACUAGUUGCAUAAGGUGGCUAGCGGGUGUCUGUCUCUCCCACUUUAAUCGGAUCGGAUUCGAUGAAAAGGGUCCUUAUGAAGGGUAAAUAGCAAUUGGCAUACCAUGUUGUGGUUUUUGCGUAGGUAAGAAACGUUCUUGCUAGAAACCCAUAGCAGCCAUGUAAAACAUGCAAACAACAAUUAGAGGACGUCUAACUUGUUUUUGCAGGGUAUGCUAUGUGAUGUGAUAUGGCCAAAAGGAUGUGAUGAAUGAUAUAUGUGAUGUAUGAGAUUGAUCAUGUUCUUGUAAUAGGAAUCACGACUUGCAUGUCGAUGAGUAUGACAACCGACAAGAGCCAUAGGAGUUGUGUUUAUUUAUUGUAUGACCUGCGUGUCAUUGAACAAUGCCAUGUAAUUACUUUACUUUAUUGCUAACCGGUAGCCAUAGUAGUAGAAGUAAUAGUUGGCGAGCGACUUCAUGGAGACACGAUGAUGGAGAUCAUGAUGAUGGAGAUCAUGGUGUCAUGCCGGUGACAAGAUGAUCAUGGAGCCCCAAGAUGGAGAUCAAAGGAGCUAUAUGAUAUUGGCCAUAUCAUGUCACUAUUAUUUGAUUCCAUGUGAUGUUUAUCAUGUUUUUGCAUCUUGUUUACUUAGAAUGACGGUAGUAAAUAAGAUGAUCCCUCAUGAUAAUUUCAAGAAAGUGUUCCCCCUAACUGUGCACCGUUGCGACAGUUCGUUGUUUCGAAGCACCACGUGAUGAUCGGGUGUGAUAGAUUCUAACGUUCACAUACAACAGGUGUAAGACAGAUUUACACACGCGAAACACUUAGGUUGACUUGACGAGCCUAGCAUGUACAGACAUGGCCUCGGAAUACAAGAGACCGAAAGGUCGAGCAUGAGUCGUAUGGUAGAUACGAUCAACAUGAAGAUGUUCACCGAUGAUGACUAGUCCGUCUCACGUGAUGAUCGGACACGGCCUAGUUGACUCGGAUCAUGUAAUCACUUAGAUGACAAGAGGGAUGUCUAUCUGAGUGGGAGUUCAUAAGAUGAACUUAAUUAUCCUGAACAUAGUCAAAAGAUCUUCGCAAAUUAUGUCGUAGCUCGCGCUUCAGUUGUACUGUUUAGAUAUGUUCCUAGAGAAAAUUUAGUUGAAAGUUGAUAGUAGCAAUUAUGCGGACUAGGUCCGUAAACUGAGGAUUGUCCUCACUGCUUCAUAGAAGGCUUAUGUCCUUAAUGCACCGCUCAGUGUGCUGAACCUCGAACGUCGUCUGUGGAUGUUGCGAACAUCUGACAUACACAUUUUGAUAACUACGUGAUAGUUCAGUUAAAUGGUUUAGAGUUGAGGCACCGAAGACGUUUUGAAACAUCGCGAAACAUAUGAGAUGUUUCGAGGGCUGAAAUUGGGAUUUCAGGCUCGUGCCCACGUCAAGAGGUAUAAGACCUCCGAAGAUUUUCUUAGCCUGCAAACUAAGGGAGAAAAGCUCAAUUGUUGAGCUUGUGCUCAGAUUGUCUGAGUACAACAAUCAUUUGAUUCGAGUGGGAGUUGAUCUUCCAGAUGGGAUAGUGAUAUUUCUCCGAAGUCAUUGCCACCAAGCUGCUAGAGCUUCGUGAUGAACUAUAACAUAUCAGGGAUAGAUAUGAUGAUCCUUGAAAUAUUCGCGAUGUUUGACACCGCGAAAGUAGAAAUCAAGAAGGAGCAUCAAUUGUUGAUGGUUAGUGAAACCACUAGUUUCAAGAAGGGCAAGGGCAAGAAGGGAUACUUCAUGAAACGGCAAUUCAGCUGCUGCUCUAAUGAAGAAACCCAAAGUUGAACCCAAACCCGAGACUAAGUGCUUCUGUAAUAAGGGGAACAGCCACUGGAGCAGAAUUACCCUGGAUACUUGGUAGAUGAGAAGGCUAGCAAGGUCGGUAGAAGUAUAUUGGAUAUACAUUGUGUUAAUGUGUACUUUACUAGUACUCAUAGUAGCACCAAGGUAUUAGAUACUGGUUCGGUUACUAAGUGUUAGUAACUCGAAAUAAAAGCUACGGAAUAAACGGAGACUAGCUAAAAGGUGAGAUGACGAUAUGUGUUGGAAGUAUUUCCAAGGUUGAUCAAAUAUCGUACGCUCCCUCUACCAUCAAGAUUGGUGUUUGCGUUGAGCAUAGACAUGAUUGGAUUAUGUCUAUCGCAAUACGGUUAUUCAUUUAAGGAGAAUAAUGGUUACUCUGUUUAUUUGAAUAAUACCUUCAAUGGUCUUGCACCUAAAAUGAAUGGUUUAUUGAAUCUCGAUCGUAGUGAUACACAUGUUCAUGCCAAGAGAUAUAAGAUAGUAAUGCUAGUACCACCUACUUGUGGCACUGCCACGUAAGUCAUAUCGGUAUAAAACGCAUGAAGAAGCUCCAUGUUGAUGGAUCUUUGGGGUCACUCGUUUUUGAAAAGUUUGAGACAUGCGAACCAUGUCUAUUGGUGUAUAUGCAUGAAGAAAAUCGAUGCAAAUGGACCGUUUGGACUCACUUGAUUUUGAAUCACUUGAGACAUGCAAAUCAUACCACAUGGGCAAGAUGACUGAAAGCCUCGUUUUCAGUAAAAUGGAACUAGAAAGCAACUUGUUCGAAGUAAUACAUUUUGAUGUGUGCAGUCCAAUGAGUGCUCAGGCAUGUAGUGGAUAUCGUUAUGUUCUUACUUCACAGAUGAUUUGAGUAGAUGUUGAGUAUAUUUACUUGAUGAAUCAUGAGUCUGAAUUAUUGAAAGGUUCAAGUAAUUUCAGGGUGAAGUUGAAAGAUCAUCGUGACAAGAGGAUAAAAGAUCUAUGAUAUGAUCAUAGAGAUGAAUAUCUGAAUUACGAGUUUGGCACAGAAUUAAGACAUUGUGGAAAUUGUUUCACAACAAAUACAACCUGGAACACCAUAGUGUGAUGGUGUGUCCGAACAUCAUAACUGCACCCUAUUGGAUAUGAUGCAUACCAUGAUGUCUCUUAUCGAAUUACCACGAUAGUUUAUGGGUUAGGCAUUAGAGACAACCACAUUUACUUUAAAUAGGGCACCACGUAAUUCCGAUGAGAUGACACCGUAUGAACUAUGGUUUAGAGAAACCUAAGCUGUCAUUUCUUAAAAGUUUGGGGUUGCGACGCUUAUGUGAAAAAGUUUCAGGCUGAUAAGCUCGAACCCAAAGCGGAUAAAUGCAUCUUCAUAGUACACCCAAAAACAGUUGGGUAUACCUCCUGUCUCAGAUCCAAAAGCAAUAAGGGAUUGUUUCUAGAAUCGGGUCCUUUCUCGAGGAAAAGUUUCUCUCGAAAGAAUUGAGUGGGAGGAUGGUGGAGACUUGAUAAGGUUAUUGAACCGUCUCUUCAACUAGUGUGUGGCAGGGCACAGGAAGUUGUUCCUGUGGCACCUACACCAAUUGAAGUGGAAGCAUAUGAUAGUGAUCAUGAAACAUCAGAUCAAGUCACUACCAAACCUCGUGGGAUGACAAGGAUGCGUACUACUUCAGAGUGGUACGUGAUCCUGUCUUGGAAGUCAUGUUGCUAGACAACAAUGAACCUACGAGCUAUGGAGAAGCGAUGGUGGGCCUGGAUUCCAAAAUGGCUCGAGGACAUAUAAUCCGAGAAAGGAUCCAUAUAUGAAAACAAAGUGUAGACUUUGGAAGAACUACUUGAUGGUCGUAAGGCUGUUAGGUACAUAUGGAUUUUAAGAAGAAGACGGACGUAGACGGUAAUGUCACCGUCUAUGAAGCUCGACUUGUGGUGAAGAGUUUUUCACAAGUUCAAGGAGUUGACUAUGAUGAGACUUUCUCACUCGUAGCGAUGCUAAGAAUCUGUUGGAAUUAUAUUAGUGAUUACUGCAUUAUUUAUGAAAUCUUGCAGAUAGGAUGUCAAAACAUCGUUUCCUCGACGAUUUUCUUGAGGAAAGGUUGUAUGUGAUACAACCAGAAGGUUUUGUCAAUCCUGAAAGAUGCUAAUAAGUAUGCAAAGCUCCAGCAAUCCUUCUAAGGACUGGAGUAAGCAUCUCGGAGUUGGAAUGUAUGCUUUGAUGAGAUGAUCAAAGAUUUUGGGUGUAUACAAAGUUUAUGAGAAACUUGUAUUUCCAAAGAAGUGAGUGGGAGCACUAUAGAAUUUCCGAUGAGUAUGUGUUGUUAACAUGUUGUUGAUCGGAAAUGAUGUAAAAUUUCUAGAAAGCAUGCAGAGCUAUUUGAAAAGUGAUUUUCAAUGGAAAGCCUGGAUUAAACUACUUGAACGUUGAGCAUCAAGAUCUAUAAGGAUAGAUCAAAACGCUUAAUGGUACUUUCAAAUGAGCACAUACCUUGACAUGAUCUUAAAGGUGUUCAAGAUGGAUCAGUCAAAGAAGGAGUUCUUGCCUGAGUUGUAAGGUAUGAAGUUAAGACUUAAAGCUCGACCGUGGCAGAAGAAAGAGAAAGGACGAAUGUCGUCCCCUAUGCUUUUGCCAUAGGCUCUAUACGGUAUGCCAUGCUGAGUACCACCUGAUGUGUGCCUUGCCACAUGUGUGGCAAGAGGGUACAAAGGUGAUUCAGGAGUGGAUCACUAGAUAGCGGUCAAAAUGGUCCUUGGAGUAAUAAGGACAUGUUUCUCGAUUAUGGAGGUGAUAAAGAGUUCGGUGUAAAGGGUUACAUCGAUGCAAGCUUUAACACCUAUCCGAAUGACUCUGAGUAGCAAACCGGAUACGUAUAGUGGAGCAACCAUUUGGAAUAGCUCAAAGUGCAGUGUGGAAGCAGCAUUUAUAAUAUGACCUAGAGAUUUGCGAAGUACAUACGGAUCUGAAUGUUGCAGACCCGUUGACUAAAACCUCUCUCACAAGCAAAACAUGAUCAAACCCAGAACUCAUUGAGUCUUAAUCACAUGAUGAUGUGAACUAGUUUAGUGACACUAGUAAACUCUUUGGAUAUUGGUCACAUGGCGAUGUGACCUGUGAGUGUUAAUCACAUGGCGAUGUGAACUAGAUUAUUGACUCUAGUGCAAGUGGGAGACUGUUGUAAAUAUGCCCUAGAGGCAAUAAUAAAUUGAUUAUUAUUAUAUUUCCUUGUUCAUGAUAAUCGUUUAUUAUCCAUGCUAGAAUUGUGUUGAUAGGAAACUCAGAUACAUGUGUGGAUACAUAGACAACACCAUGUCCCUAGUAAGCCUCUAGUUGACUAGCUCGUUGAUCAAUAGAUGGUUACGAUUUCCUGGCCAUGGACAAUGGAUGUCGUUGAUGACGGGAUCACAUCAUUAGGAGAAUGAUGUGAUGGACAAGACCCAAUCCUAAGCAUAGCAUAGAUCGUGUAGUUCGUUUGCUAAAGCUUUUCUAAUGUCAAGUAUCAUUUCCUUAGACCAUGAGAUUGUGCAAAUCCUGGAUACCGUAGGAAUACUUUGGGUGUGCCAAACGUCACAACGUAACUGGAUGGCUAUAAAGGUGCACUACGAGUAUCUCCGAAAGUGUCUGUUGGGUUGGCACAAAUCGAGACUGGGAUUUGUCACUCCGUGUGACGGAGAGGUAUCUCUGGGCCCACUCGGUAGGACAUCAUCAUAAUGUGCACAAUGUGAUCAAGGAGUUGAUCACGUGAUGAUGUGUUACGGAACGACUAAAGAGACUUGCUGGUAACGAGAUUGAACAAGGUAUCGGGAUACCGACGAUCGAAUCUCGGGCAAGUACAAUACCGCUAGACAAAGGGAAUUGUAUACGGGAUUGAUCGAAUCCUCGACAUCGUGGUUCAUCCGAUGAGAUCAUCGUGGAACAUGUGGGAACCAACAUGGGUAUCCAGAUCCCGCUGUUGGUUAUUGACCGGAGAACGUCUCGGUCAUGUCUGCAUGGUUCCCGAACCCGUAGGGUCUACACACUUAAGGUUCGAUGACACUAGGGUUAUAAAGGAAGUUUGUAUGUGGUUACUGAAUGUUGUUCGGAGUCCCGGAUGAGAUCCCGGACGUCACGAGGAGUUCCGGAAUGGUCCGGAGGUAAAGAUUUAUAUAUGGGAAGUCCUGUUUUGGUCACCGGAAAAGUUUCGGGUUUUAUCGGUAACGUACCGGGACCACCGGGAGGGUCCCGGGGGUCCACCAAGUGGGGCCACAAGCCCCGAAGGGCAGCAUGGGCCAAGUGUGGGAGGGGACCAGCCCCAGGUGGGCUGGUGCGCCCCCCCACCAAGGCCCAAGGUGCAAGGGAGAGUGGAAGGGGGCAAACCCUAGGCUCAGAUGGGCCUAAGGCCCACCUAGUGGUGCGCCCCCUCUCUCCCCCCUUGGCCGCCCCCCCAGAUGGGAUCUAGGGGUGGAAACCUAGGUGGGGCGCAGCCCCUCCCUUCCCUUAUAUAUACUUGAGGUUUUGGGCUGCCAGAGACAAGAGUUCCUCUCCUUCUUGGCGCAGCCCUACCCUCUCCCUCCUCGUCUCUUGCGGUGCUUGGCGAAACCCUGCUGGAGUACCACGCUCCUCCUCCACCACCACGCCGUUGUGCUGCUGCUGGAUGGAGUCUUCCUCAACCUCUCCCUCUCUCCUUGCUGGAUCAAGGCAUGGGAGACGUCACCGGGUUGUACGUGUGUUGAACGCGGAGGUGCCGUCCGGUCGGCACUAGGAUCUCCGGUGAUUUGGAUCACGACGAGUACGACUCCUUCAACCUGUUCUCUUGAACGCUUCCGCAUAGCAAUCUACAAGGGUAUGCAGAUGCACUCUCCUUCCCCUCGUUGCUGGUUUCUCCAUAGAUAGAUCUUGGUGACACCUAGGAAAAUUUUGAAUUUCUGCUACGUUCCCCAACAAUGAUCAUCCCCCAUUGAUCUGGUUAUUACAAGAUACCCCGAAGUUCUCUCUAUUGUUCCGAGAAUACUUUGUUCCUACUGCCUUGCAGAUCUUUGCCACAUGAAUACCCCUACAAAUAAGUCCUCGCACUUGUCGAGUAUCCGCUCAUCCCCAGUUGUUCAUCCCCAGUUGUUCAUGUGUUUCACAAAAGUCUUCAAAAUAGCAUUCCAUCUUCCGAAAAUCCUCAGGAGCCUUUUGCUCUUGAAAUUCUUGCUUACUUACAUUAUGGUUAAUCCCAUAAGUCUAGUAAUUUUAUUGACAUCCUUUGUCAUUAUCAUUUUGAGUCCGUUGAUUCAAUAUGUUGCGGUUGCUCGCAAUCUUCAGCCAGUUCCUAGAAUUCAUCCUUCCGGCUCAGGCGUCAUUUUAAACAUGAGAUAGAUCUUGACCAAUCCAAUUGUCGUCGAUUGUACCCCUAUGCUUACUCAACUUAUCCAUCCUUAAUCAGAGCGUUAUCUUCUGAUCCAUUGAUUUGGAAAUCAUAAUUCCUUUGCGUUAGAGCUUUGGAUUAGUCAGUUGUUUCUAUAAGCCAAUGCCCUUGCAUUGUUUUCUUCCUCUGAUUGUGUGUUGGUGCUCACAUCAGCUCCGUUAUGGACUUUCAGAUCCUUUGUUGAAUUUAUUAUCCGACAGUGUCCUUCAUAUUAAAUAACCUUGUGAGCCUUUCCGCGGGUAUGAAAUGCCUUUGGUAAAUUGUAUCCUCUGCUUUGUCAACCAUGCUUUACUUUCGAGCUGGUGAUAUUUACUCUUGAAGCUUGUGGUAUAUGUUUCUAAGAUGCCUCGAUGGGUUGAACCUAUACCUUCUCUAAAACUGUGUGAACCCAAACGUUUUCACGAGUCAUACUCUUCUGGUGCUUUGCUAGAUAAAAUUUCAACACUGCAACUUCUUCGAAAAUGAGAAGUGAAUGAAAGGUUAUGCAUUGGAGAAGUGGGAGUCGACCUUGAACCCUGUGUUCAUGCCCAUGGAAACGAUGUAUACCUUAUCAUGGAAGCUUCUCUUAAAAUAAUUAUCCCCUUGUUAUAAGUUCAUCUUAUAUAUGGGGAUUGGUCUUUUGCAACUGUGGUUCUGACCAAAAAUUUCUUCUUGAUUCCAUCUCUUGGACAAGUUAGAGUACUUGCCUUCUGCAGAUCAAUACGCCUGCCCAACCUCUAUUUUUGAUCUGCUUUCUUGUAUUACCCCCAUGGUAUCUCGAGGAUAUAUCUUAUGAAUUUCUGAUGAAGUAGUACCUUCCCUGUCAUAGUGACUCCACGGGUUCUGGGUUAUCAUCAACCGAGAACAUUGAUAAGUGAAUCGAUUCCGCGCUCCGAUACGAUAACUCUAAGUAAUUUUUGUUGCCUAUGAGUUUAAUAAUCCUUCAAGUCAUUCCUAGCCUAAUUGGCUAUAUCCUUAUCAUGCUAAAUUGUAAUUGUGCUACCUGGUCCUUCUUCCUGGAACACAACUAUCGAUGAUGAGCUAAUCUUACGUCGAUCUUCCUCAUCAUAUCAUUUCGCCUUGAACCGCAAGCUUGGUCCCGAGUUUGUGUCGUACCCGUGGUUCCAAUAACCUUUCGCUUCAUCAUUCCUUUGACUUGAUGUCAUCGCCGAUCGAUUACAUCUUCAGGUAAUCUCUCGACAAAUGUGUCUUGAUCAUCAUCAACAUAUUGAGCUCUUUGAAGAUACCCAUCGAAUUCAUGAUGAGCAAUACCAUCCUUGCCCCUCGAUGAUGUGUGUUAUCAUCGACAACAUUCUUGCCUUCCCACAACACAAACUUGUUCAUGUUAUGAAUGCAACUUGCUAUCCAGCUUGUAUGAUGUUCCACCUUGAAGUAUUAAUGUCCUUUAUGACAAGGAUGUCGUGAGGAUUGCUCCACCUCUUAAGAAUUCUUGGUAUAGUGAUGCUUCUCACCAUCAUCAUUCUUUCUUGGUCCCCGUGUUGAUUCCAACCGGUGUACCAACAAGUGAACGGUGCUGUUUGGAUUCUGCCCUUCUAGAAACCCUAUUGCUUUGAAGUUAAUGGUCGGCCGUUCAUUCUUAGACUAUUGAUUAUUGAAUCACCAUUCUAACAUUGGUCGUGCAACCCAACCCAUAUUUCGGGCACACCUUUCAACCAAUGUUUAAUUGUGUGUGUUUUCCUCGAGCAUACUUCAUUAUAUCAUUUGAUAUGACAAAUGUUAUCUCCUUAUCCACAUAAUUGUGGAGAUGCAUCUUUUUGGAUACCUCGUUGAAUUAUCGAUGAGUCCAUCAGCCACUUCCUCAUCCUCUCCUUGGCUUAAUGAUGAACCCUUGUUCGGAACUCGCUUCCAUAGUUCAUUUCCCGAGAAUCAUAUAAUGUCAUCUUGUCAAUUAUGUUGCACCUCUUCUUCUUAGGCAUCCUGAGUCUGAGAUAUCCUAACACCAAUCAGAUCUGAAGCUCUGCCAGAUUUGAUGGUUGGAACAUUUUUACAAGAGUUAUAACAUUGGUCUUUUUAUGACCCGGUUAGGUGAUGUCAUGCCUAGCACACCUGGCUGGAGGGCCUAUUAUUACAGUUCUUCCUUUUGGCAUGUUAACCAUUCUUCCAUGAGGAAAUUGUAAGAUUUAUUCUACAAGUUGUUCCUGAUGGAUCCUUCCUGUAUCCAAAGUCUGAACUUUGCUUAAGGACCAUGUCAAUGCUAUCUCGAAGCAUGUCUUUGGUAAUCCGAUUUUCAAUAAGAACAGUUGAAGCACAAUGCUAAAAUUUUCUUAUUAAUUACCCCAAACACCGUUGUUUGGGUAAUGUCAUGAAAUUCCUCUUCCCUUACCUAAAAGGUUUUCUACUUUCUAUCCUGUCAUGGAUAUCAUGCUCUACUUGUCCUUGGGAAGGAUAUAACCUUGAAAUAUGUGUUUAAACACAUUUUCCUUUCCAUUGUUCUGUUUAAUCUGAUAGCCAUAUUUUCCUUUCCAUUGGUUGGUUUAACGUUUCGUGUGAUCUAUAUGAUCUAAGCAGUAAUAUUCUCGCGCAUAUGUAAACACCUCGGUGUACAAUUCUGUCAGCAAGACCCUGUUACUAUUGUUGAUGACAUUCCGGUAACCACCGAUGGACGAGAACUUUGCCUAUUGGUCCGCCCCGUUCAACGAGCAGGAAGAUGGUUCUCUUCGUCCCUCGCCCUCGGUACCGACAUUGUUGCCGACAUAACUGAUAGGCUACACUCUGACAUGUCUUGCUAUCAUGACCGUGCAAGACGUCACCGCCCUUCUUACUUUUAACCCACAUGGUGGGCCCAUAACCCACAGUUCCACAGGAUCGAAACCUGACUCUCCUGUACACCCCCUGUUCCCAAGGUUGUUCCUCGCGCAUGGCCUCGUAUAUAAUUCACGAGCCACCUUCUGAAAGAUCAUCAAUUCUGGUAUCAGACAUUAUACUUAUUCCCGCUGCUUAGAACACCUUUCAUGCCCUGUAACAGGCAUUAGUCGUUUGCCUGCCCGCUCGAAACUUCCCAUGAUACCUCCUUAUUUUACUCUCGAUAUUUUCUUAAGUUCCAAUUCGAGGGUUACUUCCGCCACCUGCCUCGAUGUCAUCGACCAGAUAGUUGACCUUGCAGAGAUCCGUUCUCCCGGAAUAUACCCCCCCUUAUUCUGUCGUAAGUACGAUGGAGGUCCUACAUAAAGGAUGCUGGCCUCAUCGUGAUGACUUGAAGCAGAGAAAUAAAGACAACCAUGUAAUGGAUCGACCUCUUCGAGAAGCACAACCAAGACCAAAAGAUUCGUUAGAAUUUCGUAAUCAGACCUUUCCCCCCUAUUCCACCUCUUAAAUCUCGGGACGAGAUUUCUUGUAGUGGAGGAGAAUUGUAACGCCCGGAUAAUUAAGCUACAGUGAACCUCUACUAAUGGUACCACGUCACCACAAUUGCUAUUGUUAAUCCCGCGAUGAUUCAAUUUCUGUUCAAGUCCAAAUUUACGAUGAUGUCAAACGAGAAACAUUUUCAAGCAUUAAAACUAAAAUCUUCUGGAUGUGACAAAUAAAUCAUAAGUAAUGUCGGUGGACAAUCCACAUUUUUAUAAAAUGUUUAAAUUCACUAAAAUAAUAAAACUGUAGCAAAAGCAAUUAAUUAAAUGCAUUUUCAAUUAUUAAAUUAUAAAACUAUUUUAUUUAGUUUCCCAAAACUAUUGGGACUGUAGCAUAUUUAUUAACACUAAAUUAGUGGCUCGUUUUUAUAUUUGAUACAACUAUAAUAAGUAAAAAUAAAAUGUUAACAAAAAAAUGAAUGAAAGAGAAAACAAGAAAUGAAAUGAAACCCCCCACUGGGCCAACCGGACCAACAUGCUCAAUCCACCCCAGCCCAACACUUCCUGUCUCCUUCCCUGUUCAUCAUAGACGCCAUGGACGCACGCGCCGCGUCCAUGGCUCCGAUUGCCAGGUGCUGGCCAUCCUGCGACCCUCCCCGAGGAUAAGAGCACCCCCAGCCUCCCUCUCCCUCUGCAACCCUAGCCCCCAAAUCCCCCCGCCCCUCGCUCGAAUUCGACGACCUGAACAAGGCCGUGCUCGUGGUCGUCGUUAUCUUUGUCGAUCCCGUGGCCACCGGCCAUCGUUUGCCACAAUUUUAUGCCAGGAGCUCCGUCUGCCUCGUCUACUUCAUCUACGUCCAUCAGUUCGAGUCCCCUCGCGCUACAUCGCCAGGAUCGAGUCUUCUUCCUCCUUCGGCCGCCGCCGUUCUCCAUCGAUCCCGUCGCCGUUCUGCGCUCCUAAGCUCUCAAUGAGCCUCCGUGCGCUCCUUGGUGAGCCCUCUGCCUUUCCCCUCUGCCUCCCCUUCAAUUUGCUAUCUCUAGCCGCCGCGCCACACUUGUCAUAGUUCGUUGCCGCCGUCAUACUUGUUGCCGCUGCUGUAGUGCUUCUUGUAAGACAAUAGGCUUUGGGGGGAACCGGCACAACCCUCUAGGGGUGGCCUAUCACAUAUAUAUAUAAUGAGGUGGUAUACAAUGUUACAAUAUACACGUGUAAAUACAGUCUAACACCCUCCCUCAAUCUUAGCCACUUUCUAAUGAAUCUAGAAGGGUAAGAUUGCGCCUGCAAGUGUCAAACUGUGGCAAAGGCAAUGGUUUGGUGAAGAUGUCAGCAAGUUGAUCCUUGGAAGAAAUAAACUUGAUCUGUAGUUGCUUCUGAGAGACACGUUCACGCACAAAGUGAUAGUCAACUUCAAUGUGUUUCGUUCGGGCAUGGAAUACCGGAUUUGCAGAAAGGUAUGUAGCACCGAUGUUAUCACACCAAAGAACAGGAGGCUGUGAUUGGGGUAUACUUAACUCCUGAAGCAAGGACUGUACCCAGAUAAUCUCUGAUGUGGCAUUGGCCACAGCCUUAUACUCAGCCUCAGUACUGCUACGCGAGACAGUAGCCUGUUUCCGAGCACUCCAAGCAAUCAGGUUAGAGCCAAAGAAGACAGCAUAACCCCCCGUGGAUCGCCUGUCAUCCGGAUUGCCAGCCCAGUCUGCAUCAGAAUAUGCUGAAAGACAACCAGAGUCAGACGGCCGAAUAUGCAAACCAUGAGCCACCGUGAAACGAAUAUAGCGCAAAAUCCGCUUAACAACAGACCAAUGAGUGUCACGGGAUGACUGCAGAUACUGGCAGACUCGGUUAACAGCAUAGGAAAUGUCUGGUCGCGUGAUCGUCAAGUACUGGAGCCCACCAACAAUACUCCGGUACUCGGUCGCAUCAGAAGAAGAAAGAAGCACACCAUCAACAGCAUUGAGCUUAUCAGUGGUAGACAUGGGUGUAGUCGUCGGUUUGCACUUAAGCAUCCCAGCUCGCUGCAACAAAUCCAGAGAGUACUUCUUCUGCGUCAUAACAAGGCCAGCAGCACAAGAAGUAACCUCCACACCAAGAAAGUAAUGAAGCUUCCCAAGGUCCUUGACCGCAAAAUCAGCACCAAGUGAGCGAACAAGCGCAGUAGCAGCCGACUGAGAGGAGCUGACCAAAAUGAUAUCAUCUACAUAGACCAACAAGUACAUAGUAACCUCAGGCCUUUGAAGAAGAAACAAUGAGGAGUCAGCAGUUGAUGAUGCAAAACCAUGAGCACGAAGAGCCAUUGCAAGACGAGCAUGCCAAGCACGAGGAGCCUGCUUCAGACCAUAAAUUGCCUUGGACAGACGACAGAGAUGAUCAGGGCGAUCCGGAUCAGAGAAACCCGGAGGCUGGCGCAUGUAAACCUCCUCCGCCAAGACACCAUGAAGAAAAGCAUUUUGAACAUCAAGCUGACGAAGAAACCAACCUCGAGUAACAGGCAGAGAGAGAAGAAGUCUGAUGGUAGUAGGCUUGACCACUGGACUGAAGGUGUCUUCAUAGUCAAGUCCAAAACGCUGUCGAAAACCACGAGCAACCAUACGAGCCUUAUAGCGCUCAAUGGACCCAUCAGAAUGCCUCUUCACUUUGAAAACCCAUUUGGAAUCAAUGACAUUUACCCGUGAUUGUGGAGGAACAAGAGUCCAUGUCUGAUUGCGAAGAAGCGCUUGAUACUCCUGCUCCAUGGCCUCUCUCCAAUGAGGAAUGCGCAUAGCAGCUUGAUACGUGCGUGGCUCAGAGGAUGGAUCUGCGAGAGCAGCAGACAUGCACGCCGCUAACCAAGCAACUGUGCCAUCGUGACGUUGCUUAGGCUGAAAAAUGCCACUCCGACUGCGCGUAUGUGGACGUAGAGCAGCAGCAGGAGCCGGCGGAGGCGAAGGUGACGGAGACGUGAUGGUCGCCGGAGAUGCAGGAAUCACCUCAGGCGAGCUCGGGACAGACGACUCCGGGCUGCAUGGCGAAGACUGGUCCGACGACAGGGGCUCAGAGGCCAUGGGCGAACCGAGGGUGGGCGAGGCCAGCUCCGGUGACACCGGCCCAGACGGCCUUGGCGAGGCGAGAGCAGGCCUUGGUGAGAAGGGCCCAGACACCCUGGGCGAGGCAGGGGCGGGCGAGGUGUGACGCCCGGGUAAUCAAGCUACAUUAACCCUCUGGUAAUGGUGCCACGUACCUCGAUUUAUUGUUGAUAAUCUCGUGUUAGCUCGAAACCAAACCAAAUUCAAAUUUGAAUUAAAGUCAAAACAAUAAAAGUUUUCAAAAUUGAAACAAAAAUGUUCGGUGGACGCCAAAUAUUACAAAGGUAAUUAUGGGGCAACAAACACCUUUUUAUAAAAUGGCUAAAUGAUUUAAACAGAAAAGAAUGAAAUAAUAAAAGAAAACAGAAAACAAACAAACAAAAAAAAGGGAAAGGAAAAGAACCCCCCCGGGCCAGCCGACCCAACUAGCCGGCCCAUUCGACCACCGGCCCAACUGGACAAAGGCCCAGCCGGCCACCCCACUUCCCCCCAUAACCCCCCACCCCUAGUCAAACCCUAACCCAACCACCCGCACCCCCCCACGCCGUUCCCCCCUCCCGAUCCAAUCUGGAUCGGGGACGAGACCCCCACUCGNNNNNNNNNNNNNNNNNNNNNNNNNNNNNNNNNNNNNNNNNNNNNNNNNNNNNNNNNNNNNNNNNNNNNNNNNNNNNNNNNNNNNNNNNNNNNNNNNNNNNNNNNNNNNNNNNNNNNNNNNNNNNNNNNNNNNNNNNNNNNNNNNNNNNNNNNNNNNNNNNNNNNNNNNNNNNNNNNNNNNNNNNNNNNNNNNNNNNNNNNNNNNNNNNNNNNNNNNNNNNNNNNNNNNNNNNNNNNNNNNNNNNNNNNNNNNNNNNNNNNNNNNNNNNNNNNNNNNNNNNNNNNNNNNNNNNNNNNNNNNNNNNNNNNNNNNNNNNNNNNNNNNNNNNNNNNNNNNNNNNNNNNNNNNNNNNNNNNNNNNNNNNNNNNNNNNNNNNNNNNNNNNNNNNNNNNNNNNNNNNNNNNNNNNNNNNNNNNNNNNNNNNNNNNNNNNNNNNNNNNNNNNNNNNNNNNNNNNNNNNNNNNNNNNNNNNNNNNNNNNNNNNNNNNNNNNNNNNNNNNNNNNNNNNNNNNNNNNNNNNNNNNNNNNNNNNNNNNNNNNNNNNNNNNNNNNNNNNNNNNNNNNNNNNNNNNNNNNNNNNNNNNNNNNNNNNNNNNNNNNNNNNNNNNNNNNNNNNNNNNNNNNNNNNNNNNNNNNNNNNNNNNNNNNNNNNNNNNNNNNNNNNNNNNNNNNNNNNNNNNNNNNNNNNNNNNNNNNNNNNNNNNNNNNNNNNNNNNNNNNNNNNNNNNNNNNNNNNNNNNNNNNNNNNNNNNNNNNNNNNNNNNNNNNNNNNNNNNNNNNNNNNNNNNNNNNNNNNNNNNNNNNNNNNNNNNNNNNNNNNNNNNNNNNNNNNNNNNNNNNNNNNNNNNNNNNNNNNNNNNNNNNNNNNNNNNNNNNNNNNNNNNNNNNNNNNNNNNNNNNNNNNNNNNNNNNNNNNNNNNNNNNNNNNNNNNNNNNNNNNNNNNNNNNNNNNNNNNNNNNNNNNNNNNNNNNNNNNNNNNNNNNNNNNNNNNNNNNNNNNNNNNNNNNNNNNNNNNNNNNNNNNNNNNNNNNNNNNNNNNNNNNNNNNNNNNNNNNNNNNNNNNNNNNNNNNNNNNNNNNNNNNNNNNNNNNNNNNNNNNNNNNNNNNNNNNNNNNNNNNNNNNNNNNNNNNNNNNNNNNNNNNNNNNNNNNNNNNNNNNNNNNNNNNNNNNNNNNNNNNNNNNNNNNNNNNNNNNNNNNNNNNNNNNNNNNNNNNNNNNNNNNNNNNNNNNNNNNNNNNNNNNNNNNNNNNNNNNNNNNNNNNNNNNNNNNNNNNNNNNNNNNNNNNNNNNNNNNNNNNNNNNNNNNNNNNNNNNNNNNNNNNNNNNNNNNNNNNNNNNNNNNNNNNNNNNNNNNNNNNNNNNNNNNNNNNNNNNNNNNNNNNNNNNNNNNNNNNNNNNNNNNNNNNNNNNNNNNNNNNNNNNNNNNNNNNNNNNCUCAUUGAGUACCCGCAAGUGAUUCUGACGAGGGGGCUGAAAGGACAGGUGGCUCCAUCCCGGUAGAGGUGGGCCUGGGUUCCCGACGGCCCUCGACUGUUACUUUGUGGCGGAGCGACAGGGCAGGUUGAGACCACCUAGGAGACAGGUGGGCCUGGCCCUGUUCGGCGUUCGCGGAUACUUAACACGCUUAACGAGAUCUUGGUAUUUGAUCUGAGUCAGCUACGAGCCUAUACGCACUAACCAUCUACGUGGGAGUAGUUAUGGGUAUCCCGACGUCGUGGUAUCAGCCGAAGCACUUCAGACGUCAGCGACGGAGCGGCGCGCGCCGGAUUGGACUGGAACGCCUACUAGGCUAGGUCUGCUUCCGGCCGCCCUCGCAACGUGCAGGUGUGCUCAGGGCGAUGGGCCCAGACCCCUGCGCGCUUAGGUUUAGACCGGUGUGCUGGCCUCUCUGUUGUGCCUAGGUGGGGCUGCGACGUGUUGAUCUUCCGAGGCCGGGCAUGACCCAGGAAAGUGUGUCCGGCCAAAUGGGAUCAAGCGUGUUGGGCUAUGUGGUGCACCCCUGCAGGGAAGUUAAUCUAUUCGAAUAGCCGUGAUCUUCGGUAACAGGAUGACUUGGAGUUGUACCUUGACCUUAUGACAACUAGAACCGGAUACUUAAUAAAACACACCCUUCAAAGUUCCACAGACAACCCGGUGAUCGCUUUUCCGCAGGGCGACGAGGAGAGGAUCGCCGGGUAGGUUUAUGCUAUGCGAUGCUACUUGGAGAUGCUACUUGGAGAUGCUACUUGGAGAUGCUACUUGGAGGACUUCAAUCUACUCUCUUCUACAUGCUGCAAGACGGAGGCUGCCAGAAGCGUAGUCUUCGACAGGAUUAGCUAUCCCCCUCUUAUUCUGGCAUUCUGCAGUUCAGUCCACCGAUAUGGCCUCCUUACACAUAUACCCAUGCAUAUGUAGUGUAGUUCCUUGCUUGCGAGUACUUUGGAUGAGUACUCACGGUUGCUUUCUUCCCCCUUUUUCCCCUUUCCUUUCUUUCUGGUUGUCGCAACUAGAUGCUGGAGUCCAGGAGCCAGACGCCACCGUCGACGACGACCCCUACUACACCGGAGGUGCCUACUACUACGUGCUGCCCGCUGACGACGACCUGGAGUAGUUAGGAGGAUCCCAGGCAGGAGGCCUGCGCCUCUUUCGAUCUGUAUCCCAGUUUGUGUUAGCCAUCUUAUGGCAACUUGUUUAACUUAUGUCUGUACUCAGAUAUUGUUGCUUCCGCUGACUCGUCUAUGAUCGAGCACUUGUAUUCGAGCCCUCGAGGCCCCUGGCUUGUAUUAUGAUGCUUGUAUGACUUAUUUUAUUUGUAGAGUUGUGUUGUGAUAUCUUCCCGUGAGUCCCUGAUCUUGAUCGUACACGUUUGCGUGCAUGAUUAGUGUACGAUUGAAUCGGGGGCGUCACAAGUUGGUAUCAGAGCCGACUGCCUGUAGGAAUCCCCCUUCCAACUCCUUGGCCGAAGUCGAGUCUAAACUUUACAAAACUUUUACUAACAUGGCUGUGCGGCCCAUGGGCCCACGUCGCCAUUGGGUGGUAGUAGGAUCUUUUACUCCUCGACCUAUACUCUGGGACUCUUAUUUCUCUUCUAUUCGAGUUAAAUGAUUUUUGCUAAAUCUAACAUUAGGAUCUCGUUAUCACUUUCACCCGGAGAGCCCCUUAUUAAUGAUGAUCGUCUGCGGCACGUGAAGACCCUGAAGAUACUCUCCGUUGUUAACCCGAGAACUUAUGUUCAUCGCAUUUGCAAUUCCCCUUCCACCGUCAACCCUUAUGGAUAACUACUUGCAGUUGUUAUUCUUACAUUCAUCCCCAGUUGGUCUUGUUAUUACCAGAUACCUCGAAACACUCGUCGUUGUCUCGAUAAUCCUUGAGAUUAUCACCUUGCUGUUCCUUGUCACCUGAAUACCCCUAUGGAUAAUUCUCGCACUUAUCGAGUAUCCGCUCAUCCCCCAGUUGUUCAUGUGUUUCACAAUGGUCUUCAAAAUACUAUUUGAUCCUCCAAAAAUCCUUAAUAGCUUAUUGCUCUGCAAUACUUGUCUGCUUGCAUUAUGGAUGCUUCCCAUUGGCAAUAUUCGUUAGUAUCCUUAGGCAUCGUCAUUUUGAUCCUAUUGAUUCAGCAUGUGUGCGAAUGCACACAAACAUCUAUCAACCCUUCUAAAUUAUCCUUCCGGCUCAGACAUCAUUUUUGAACAUGAGCUGGUUCUCGACCAAACUAUUUGUCGUCAAUUGUGCCUCUGGUAUAUUCAACUUAUCCAUCCUUACUCAGAGCAUUGCUUCUGAUCCUUUGUUUUGGGAAUCGAAAUUCCUUUAUUAUCUAAGCAUCGAAUCAUUCCGAUGUUCUAUAAUAUGAUGCCCGUGCAUUCUUCUUCCUCUGGUUGAGUACCGAUGCUCACGUCAGAUCCCUUGUGGACCGCCAGAUCCUUUGUUGGAUUUUAUCUGACAACGCCCUUCAUAUUCAAUAACCUUGUGAGCCUUUCCUCUGAUACAUAAUGCCUUUGGUAAAUUGUAUCCUCUGCUUUCUUAACCAUGCUCUGUCUUCGAGCUUGAGUUAAUUACUUCUAAAGAUUCUGGUAUAUGAUUAUAAGAUGCCCCGAUGGGUUGAACCUAUGCCUUCCUUAAUGGGUGAGAACUCGAAAGUUUUCACGAGUCGUACUCCUCUGGUAUUUUGCCAGAUAAAAUUUCAAAACUACAACUUUAUUGAGUGCGAGAAGUGAAUGAAAGGUUGUGCAUUGGAGAAGUGGGAGUCGACCUUGAACUUUGCGUUCAUGCCCAUGGACACGAUGUACAUCUUCUCAUCGAAGCUUCUUUUAAAAUCAAUUAUUCCCUUGGUAUAAGUUCAUCUUAUAUCUGAGAUCUGGCCUUUUUGCAAUCGUGGUUCUGACCAUGUUCUCCUUUAAAUAGCAUGUCCUGUGCAAGUUUAAGCACUUGUCUUCUAUAGAGCAAUACCCCAGUUCAACUUCUAGUUUGAUCUGUCGUCGAGUAUUACCACCUGGUAUCUCGAGAUUAUCUUGGAACUGCAUAAUUUCUUAUGAGUUCUUCAUCAAGUACUACAUACUCACCGAUUACAAUUUUUCAUGGGCUCGGAGUUAUUGAACACUCAAAGACACCGAUAACUGAACCGAGUCCGCUCUACGGUUCAACAACUCUUCGGUAAGCUUCUAUAAGUACGAGUUUGUACCCGAUCACGCCAUUCCUAGCCUGUUUGGCUAUGUCAUUGUCGUGACGAUUCUAACGGUGCUACCUGGUCCUUAUUCUCGGAGCACCAAUUUUCGACGAUGAACUAACCUUACGUCGAUUUUUCCUCGUCAUACCCUUUUACCUUAAACAACAAGCUUGAGUUCGAGUUUGUGUCGUAACUGUGGUUCCAAUAACCUCUUGCUUCAUCAUUCCUUUGACUUGAUGUCGUCGCUGAUUGGCUACAUCUGCAUGAAAUCUCUCGACAAUUGUGUCGUGAUGAUCAUCAACAUUCUGAGCUCAUCCAGGAUAUCAAUUGAAUUCAUGAUGAGAAAUACCAUCCUUGCCCUCGAUGAAUUGUAUUAUCAUCGACCACUUUAUUGCCUUCCCACCAACACAAGCUUGUUCAUGUUUGGUGUUAUACCUUGAGUUCCUUGCUAUCCUGCAAUUGUUCUUCUUUACCUUGGAGUAUUACCAUCCUUUAUGUCAAGAAUGUUCUGAGAUUUGUUCCACCUCUUGAGAAUUCUUGACAUAGAAAUACUUCUCACCAUCACCAUUCUUUCUUGGUCCCUGUGUUAAUUCCAACAAGUGAACGGUGUUGUUUGGAUUCUUUCCUUCUAGCAACCCUAUCUCUUUGAAGUUAAUGGUCGAAAGUUCAUUCUUAGGCUAUUGAUUAUUGCAUUACCAUUCUGACAUUGGUCGUGCAACCCAACCCAUGUUGCGGGCGCACCUUUCAACCAAUGUUUAAUUGUGUAUGUUUUCCUCGAGCAUACUUCCUUAUAUCAUUUGAUCUGACGAAUGUUAUCUCCUUGUUCACUUAAUUGUGGACAUCCAUCUUUUGGGAAUAUUGGUGAAUUGCCGUUGAGUUCACCAAACACCUCCUUGUCCUCUCCUUGGUUUAAUGGUGAACUAUUGCUUCAGAAACCCGCUCCCAUAGUUCAUUUCCCGAGAAGCUUGCAAUGCCAUUUCAAUGAUUUGUGUUGCGCCUUUUCUUCUCGGACAUCCUGAGUCUGAGGUAUCAUUACACCAAUCGGAUCUGAAUCUCGGUCAGAUAUGAUGGUUGGGACAACUUUCCAAGAGUUAUGAUGUUGGUCCUUUGAUGACCCGGUAACAUGAUGUCAUGCCUAGCACCCCCCCCCCCCUGGGUGGAGGACCUAUUGUUGUAGUAUCCUUUUUAGCAAGUUUAGCCAUUCUUCCAUGAGGAAAUUGUAAGACUUAUUCUACAAGUUAUUCCUGAUGGAUCCUUCGUGUUUCUAAAGUCGGAUCUUGACCUGAAGACCCUGUCAAUGCUAUCUCGAAGCAUGUCAAUGGUACUCCGAUGUUUCAAAAAGAACAUUUGAAGCCCAAUGCUAAACGUUUCUUGCUCAAUUAUCCAAACACCGCUGUAUGGAUAAUGUCAUGAAAAUUUCACUCCCCUCACCUAGAGGCUUUUCUACUUAAUAUCAUGUCAUGGUUAUCAUGUUCUGUUUGUCCUUGGGAAGGAUAUACCCCUGAAAUAGGUGUAUAAACAUAUUUUCCAUUCCAUUGUUCUAUUUGAUCUGAUGAUCACCUUUUCCUUUCCAUUGUUUUGUUUAACCUUCCUUGUGAUUUAUAUGAUCUAAGAAGUAAAGAUUCACUGCUUAUAUAAACACCUCGGUUGUACGACUCUGUCAAUAAGACCCUGUUACUAUUGUUGAUGACAUUCUGGUAGCCACCGAUGGACGAGAACCUUGCCUAUUGGUCCGCCUCGUUCGACGAGCAGGAAAAUGGUUCUCUUCGUCCCUCGCCCUUGGUAUCGAUGUUGUUGCCGACAUAUCUGACAGGCUACCCUUUGACACACCUUACUAUCAUGACCGUGCAAAAUGUCGGCCCCCUUCCUACUUUCAACCACAUGGUGGGCCCAUAACCCGCAGUUCCACAGGAUCGAAACCUGACUCUCCUGCACCCCUGUUACUAAAGCUAAUCCUCACGCUUGGCUUCGUAUGAAAGAUCACAAGCCACCUUCCUAGUGAUCUAUUCUGGUAUCAGACGCAAUACUUAUUCCCGUUGCUCAGAACCCCUUUCGCACUCUGCUUCAGGCAAUGAACGAUUGCCUAUCCGCUUGAAACUUCUUAUUGCACCGUCUUACUUUGCUCUCGAUAUGUGUAAAUUGUUCAACUCGAGAGAUACUCAUAUGUUCAUUCUUGGGAUACCCCCAGAUGAAUUUCCCUUAUAACAUCCUAUCAUUGUAGAGCUGCCCCUUACCUAUUCGUAAGUACGAUGGAGUUCCCCGAAGAAAGGACGACAACUUCAUCAUGAUGCCUUGCAAUAAAGAAUUGAAGUCAUCAACGAAAGGGAUUAACUUCUUCGAGAAGAUCCAUUAGAAUAACCAGAACUUUCCCCUUACUCCCCUCUUAAAUCUCGGGACGAGAUUUCUUGUAGUGGAGGAGAAUUGUGACGCCCGGCUAAUCAAGCUACAUUAACCCUCUCGUAAUGGUGCCACGUACCUCGAUUUAUUGUUGAUAAUCUCGUGUUAGCUCGAAACCAAACCAAAUUCAAAUUUGAAUUAAAGUCAAAACAAUAAAAGUUUUCAAAAUUGAAACAAAAAUGUUCGGUGGACGCCAAAUAUUACAAAGGUAAUUAUGGGGCAACAAACACCUUUUUAUAAAAUGGCUAAAUGAUUUAAACAGAAAAGAAUGAAAUAAUAAAAGAAAACAGAAAACAAACAAACAAAAAAAAGGGAAAGGAAAAGAACCCCCCCGGGCCAGCCGACCCAACUGGCCGGCCCAUUCGACCACCGGCCCAACUGGACAAAGGCCCAGCCGGCCACCCCACUUCCCCCCAUAACCCCCCACCCCUAGUCAAACCCUAACCCAACCACCCGCNNNNNNNNNNNNNNNNNNNNNNNNNNNNNNNNNNNNNNNNNNNNNNNNNNNNNNNNNNNNNNNNNNNNNNNNNNNNNNNNNNNNNNNNNNNNNNNNNNNNNNNNNNNNNNNNNNNNNNNNNNNNNNNNNNNNNNNNNNNNNNNNNNNNNNNNNNNNNNNNNNNNNNNNNNNNNNNNNNNNNNNNNNNNNNNNNNNNNNNNNNNNNNNNNNNNNNNNNNNNNNNNNNNNNNNNNNNNNNNNNNNNNNNNNNNNNNNNNNNNNNNNNNNNNNNNNNNNNNNNNNNNNNNNNNNNNNNNNNNNNNNNNNNNNNNNNNNNNNNNNNNNNNNNNNNNNNNNNNNNNNNNNNNNNNNNNNNNNNNNNNNNNNNNNNNNNNNNNNNNNNNNNNNNNNNNNNNNNNNNNNNNNNNNNNNNNNNNNNNNNNNNNNNNNNNNNNNNNNNNNNNNNNNNNNNNNNNNNNNNNNNNNNNNNNNNNNNNNNNNNNNNNNNNNNNNNNNNNNNNNNNNNNNNNNNNNNNNNNNNNNNNNNNNNNNNNNNNNNNNNNNNNNNNNNNNNNNNNNNNNNNNNNNNNNNNNNNNNNNNNNNNNNNNNNNNNNNNNNNNNNNNNNNNNNNNNNNNNNNNNNNNNNNNNNNNNNNNNNNNNNNNNNNNNNNNNNNNNNNNNNNNNNNNNNNNNNNNNNNNNNNNNNNNNNNNNNNNNNNNNNNNNNNNNNNNNNNNNNNNNNNNNNNNNNNNNNNNNNNNNNNNNNNNNNNNNNNNNNNNNNNNNNNNNNNNNNNNNNNNNNNNNNNNNNNNNNNNNNNNNNNNNNNNNNNNNNNNNNNNNNNNNNNNNNNNNNNNNNNNNNNNNNNNNNNNNNNNNNNNNNNNNNNNNNNNNNNNNNNNNNNNNNNNNNNNNNNNNNNNNNNNNNNNNNNNNNNNNNNNNNNNNNNNNNNNNNNNNNNNNNNNNNNNNNNNNNNNNNNNNNNNNNNNNNNNNNNNNNNNNNNNNNNNNNNNNNNNNNNNNNNNNNNNNNNNNNNNNNNNNNNNNNNNNNNNNNNNNNNNNNNNNNNNNNNNNNNNNNNNNNNNNNNNNNNNNNNNNNNNNNNNNNNNNNNNNNNNNNNNNNNNNNNNNNNNNNNNNNNNNNNNNNNNNNNNNNNNNNNNNNNNNNNNNNNNNNNNNNNNNNNNNNNNNNNNNNNNNNNNNNNNNNNNNNNNNNNNNNNNNNNNNNNNNNNNNNNNNNNNNNNNNNNNNNNNNNNNNNNNNNNNNNNNNNNNNNNNNNNNNNNNNNNNNNNNNNNNNNNNNNNNNNNNNNNNNNNNNNNNNNNNNNNNNNNNNNNNNNNNNNNNNNNNNNNNNNNNNNNNNNNNNNNNNNNNNNNNNNNNNNNNNNNNNGCGCACAUGCGCCGUCCUCCCACGUCCGGCCACCGCCUCAGCUCGCCGCUGCAGGGAGCAGCACCGGCCGGCCGGCCACUCCGCGGUCGCGCCCGUGGUUGGACUCGGGCACGGGCACCACACUUGUGCGCCCGCACGCCCGUUUGCCCGAUUGGCCCCUGGGGCCUAUGACAGGGGGCCCCACGCCCAGAACGGUUUUUUUUAAAAGAAGAAUUAAAAUAUAUAUAUAUAUGUAUAUUAAAUAAAUAAAUAAUAAUUAAAUUAAUUAAUUAAUUAAGGAAUUAAUUAAGUUAAUUAAUCAUAAUUAGAUUAACCUAAUUAACUAAUUAGUUUAAUUAAAUAGUAAUUAGAUUAGCUAAACAUUAAUUAGACUAAACAGUCAAUGACGAACGGGACCCACCUGUCAGGUUGACCAAGUCAACCCUGUUGACUACUGACGUCAGCAUGACAUCAUGCUGACGUCAUAAAUUCAUUUUCGAAUUAAAUAAUUAAUUAAUUAAAUUCCAGAAAUUAAUAUAAUCUUUAGAAAAUCAUAUCUUUUAAUCCGUAACUCGGAUUAAAAUAUUUUCAACAUGAAAGUUGCUCAGAACGGCGGGACGAAUCCGGAUACGCAGUCCGUUCGUCCGCCACACCCCCCUAACCUAUCGAACCCGCAACUUUCCCCCUCCGGCUCCUCUGCCCGAAAACACGAAACACCGGGAAUACUUUCCCGGAUGAUUCCCCCCUUAACCAGUACCACCUUAUCCCACGUUAGGGCACGCCUAGCAUCGCUUCUUGUCAUGUCAUGCAUCGAUAUGCAUCUGUUUACUUGGUAUUCAUUGUUUCUUCCCCCUCUUCUCUCCGGUAGACUACGAGACCGACGCUGAUGCUGCCCAGUUCGACUACGGAGUUGACGACCCCUCUCUCUUGCCAGAGCAACCAGGCAAGCCCCCCCUUUGAUCACUAGAUAUCGCCUAUUCUCCUCUAUACUGUUUGCAUUAGAGUAGUGUAGCAUGUUACUGCUUUCGUUAAUCCUAUUCUGAUGCAUAGCCUGACAUUGUCGCUACAUCUGUUGAUACCUUACCUGCAAUCCUAAAUGCUUAGUAUAGGGUGCUAGUUUAUCAUCAUUGGCCCUACAUUCUUGUCAGUCUGCCUUGCUAUACUAUCGGGCCGUGAUCACUUGGGAGGUGAUCACGGGUAUAUACUAUACAUACAUACAUACUAUACUGAUGGUGACUAAAGUCGGGUCAGCUCAUUGAGUACCCGCAAGUGAUUCUGACGAGGGGGCUGAAAGGACAGGUGGCUCCAUCCCGGUAGAGGUGGGCCUGGGUUCCCGACGGCCCUCGACUGUUACUUUGUGGCGGAGCGACAGGGCAGGUUGAGACCACCUAGGAGACAGGUGGGCCUGGCCCUGUUCGGCGUUCGCGGAUACUUAACACGCUUAACGAGAUCUUGGUAUUUGAUCUGAGUCGGCUACGAGCCUAUACGCACUAACCAUCUACGUGGGAGUAGUUAUGGGUAUCCCGACGUCGUGGUAUCAGCCGAAGCACUUCAGACGUCAGCGACGGAGCGGCGCGCGCCGGAUUGGACUGGAACGCCUACUAGGCUAGGUCUGCUUCCGGCCGCCCUCGCAACGUGCAGGUGUGCUCAGGGCGAUGGGCCCAGACCCCUGCGCGCUUAGGUUUAGACCGGCGUGCUGGCCUCUCUGUUGUGCCUAGGUGGGGCUGCGACAUGUUGAUCUUCCGAGGCCGGGCAUGACCCAGGAAAGUGUGUCCGGCCAAAUGGGAUCAAGCGUGUUGGGCUAUGUGGUGCACCCCUGCAGGGAAGUUAAUCUAUUCGAAUAGCCGUGAUCUUCGGUAACAGGAUGACUUGGAGUUGUACCUUGACCUUAUGACAACUAGAACCGGAUACUUAAUAAAACACACCCUUCAAAGUUCCACAGACAACCCAGUGAUCGCUUUUCCGCAGGGCGACGAGGAGAGGAUCGCCGGGUAGGUUUAUGCUAUGCGAUGCUACUUGGAGAUGCUACUUGGAGAUGCUACUUGGAGAUGCUACUUGGAGGACUUCAAUCUACUCUCUUCUACAUGCUGCAAGACGGAGGCUGCCAGAAGCGUAGUCUUCGACAGGAUUAGCUAUCCCCCUCUUAUUCUGGCAUUCUGCAGUUCAGUCCACCGAUAUGGCCUCCUUACACAUAUACCCAUGCAUAUGUAGUGUAGUUCCUUGCUUGCGAGUACUUUGGAUGAGUACUCACGGUUGCUUUCUUCCCCCUUUUUCCCCUUUCCUUUCUUUCUGGUUGUCGCAACCAGAUGCUGGAGUCCAGGAGCCAGACGCCACCGUCGACGACGACCCCUACUACACCGGAGGUGCCUACUACUACGUGCUGCCCGCUGACGACGACCUGGAGUAGUUAGGAGGAUCCCAGGCAGGAGGCCUGCGCCUCUUUCGAUCUGUAUCCCAGUUUGUGUUAGCCAUCUUAUGGCAACUUGUUUAACUUAUGUCUGUACUCAGAUAUUGUUGCUUCCGCUGACUCGUCUAUGAUCGAGCACUUGUAUUCGAGCCCUCGAGGCCCCUGGCUUGUAUUAUGAUGCUUGUAUGACUUAUUUUAUUUGUAGAGUUGUGUUGUGAUAUCUUCCCGUGAGUCCCUGAUCUUGAUCGUACACGUUUGCGUGCAUGAUUAGUGUACGAUUGAAUCGGGGGCGUCACACGAGGCCAGGCCUGGUGAUGACUGCCCUGACACCUUGGGCGAGACGGGGACCGAGGAGGCCGGCCCAGUCGGCGGGGUUGCAGGGCGCGACGAUGGCGAAGGCAGCCCAGAAGCCAGAGGCGAUCGGGCCAGGACGUCGAUCGGCCGUGCAUGAGCACGGAAACCGAGGCCAUGCAGGGGCGCCAUGUGCUCCUCAUGCACAACAGAAGGUGCCGAGGAUGAAGGCGAUGGCGACGAAGAGGAAGAUGGCGCUUCCAGAAUCUCCAAACGAGCCCCACGACCAGUGUCUGCACCAUGGUUAGGCAACAAUAGAGGAGAAUAUGCAACAUCAUCAAAUUGGUCAGAAGCAACAGAGGAUGAAUGCAUGACAGGUGGCUCGGUAGUGGACACAUGGAGUUUGGCAAAGGGAAAAACAUGCUCAUCAAACACAACAUCCCGAGAGAUGUAGACACGAUUAGUGGGAACAUGAAGACAUUUGUAUCCUUUAUGAAGAGAGCUAUAACCAAGAAAAACACACUUCUUGGAACGAAACUCGAGCUUACGCUUGGUAUAUGGACGAAGAUGGGGCCAGCAAGCACACCCAAACACCUUGAGAAAGGUGUAGUCCGGUUGUUCAUUAAGGAGAACUUCAAUGGGAGUCUUCAUAUUCAAAACACGAGUGGGAGUACGAUUGAUGAGAAAACAUGCAGUGGUGAAAGCAUCACUCCAAAAACGAAACGGAACAGAUGCAUGGGCCAAAAGAGUCAGACCAGCUUCAACAAUGUGACGAUGCUUACGUUCUACUGAACCAUUCUGCUGAUGUGUAUGUGGACAUGCUAAACGGUGAGUGAUCCCAAGCGACUGAAAGAAGGAGUUGAGGUUGCGAUACUCGCCACCCCAGUCCGACUGAACAUGAACAAUUUUGUGCUUGAGAAGGCGUUCAACAUGUUUUUGGAACUGAACAAAAAUGUCAAACACAUCAGAUUUACGUUUGAUAAGAUAAAGCCAGGUGAAGCGGCUGUAAGCAUCAACAAAACUGAUAUAAUAAUUAUGACCACUAACAGAAGUCUGAGCAGGACCCCAUACAUCUGAAAACACAAGUUCUAAAGGAUGUUUCACCUCACGACUGGACUCCGAAAAAGGAAGUUGAUGACUCUUCCCCUGCUGACAAGCAUCACACACUGCUACAUCUUUAUUACUAGACACACUAGGAAGCUCAUGACGACGCAAAACAUGUCGGACAAUAGGUGUGGCCGGGUGACCAAGACGAGCAUGCCACUGUGACGGAGAUACCCGAACUCCACUGAAGACGCGAGCGACGCCAGGAUGCUCCAGAUGAUAGAGACCUUGGCAGAGCCGCCCACUAAGAAGAAUGUCCCUUGUGCCCUGAUCCUUAAUAAAAAGAUCAAAAGGAUGAAAUUCACAAAGCACAUUAUUAUCACGAGUGAGUUUAGGAACUGAAAGAAGAUUACGUGUCACAGAUGGAACUCGAAGAACAUUGCGAAGUUGAAGACUCCUAUUGGCAUGUCUAGUGAGAAGUGAUGCUUGACCAAUAUGAGAGAUGUGCAUACCUGCUCCAUUGGCGGUGUGGAUCUUGUCGGAGCCAUGGUAGGGUUCACGAGUGUGAAGCUUCCCCAUCUCACUGGUCAGGUGCUCUGUCACCCCAGAGUCCAUGUACCAGUGGGGAUCAAUGGAGUAGGACUGAGUGUGUCCCUGUGGCUUCUGCGGCGGCGGACGAUCAGCCAUGGCGACCUGACGAGCAAAGUUGCGUGUAUCCUUCCCGUCAUUGCCAAGACCAAGAAAACCCCGCUGGAAGCGCUUGUGACACUUCGAGGCCCAGUGCCCAUCGCGACCACAAAGCUGGCACACACGUGGACCACCAGCCCCUGGUAGCGUCACAGUAGGAGGAGGGGCCGAGGCGGGUGGUGGUGACUGCCCCGAAGGAGCCCUGGAUGAAGCAGAGGAGCGACCACCCUUGGUGGCGGCGUUUGCCGAGAGGGCGCCGUUGCCCCUGGAUCGGCGCGUCUCGACUCGUUGCUCAGUAAGCAGGAGGCGUGAAAAGACCUCGUGUGCUGGCAUGGGCGUGGAGUUGCCCCUCUCAUUGAUGAUCUCGACUAGGGCGUCAUACUCCUCAUCAAGACCAUUGACAAUAAACGAGUUGAACUCGGAGUCGGUGAGGGGUUGUCCAAUGGAGGCCAGCGUGUCGGCGAGACUCUUGACUUUGUUGUAGAACUCAGUGGCGGUGGAGUCAAGCUUCUGACACUCCCCAAGUUGGCGACGGAGUCCACAUACACGAGCCUGCGACUGUGCCGCAAACGAGCGCUCAAGAAUAGUCCAUGCCUCGUGGGACGUCUUGGCGAAGACAACAAGCCCAGCAACGGCCGGAGAGAGCGACCCCUGGAUGGAGGAGAGGUUCGCCUGAUCCUGCCCUGUCCAGACACGGUGAGCCGGAUUAUAGACCGGACCAUGCACGCUGUCAACCAGCGCAGGAGGGCAAGGGAGAGAGCCGUCGACAUAGCCAAGCAGGUAGUGACUCCCAAGAAGUGGAAGAACCUGCGCGCGCCAGAAGAUGUAAUUGUCCGAUGACAACUUGAUGGUGAUGAGAUGGCCGAAGUGAAACGGCGGCGGCGGCUGCGAUCCCAUCAAGGAGACUGGCUGAGGUGAGAACACCGUGGAGACAGUCGGAGGGGCAGCCGGCGCGGUGACAGAGGGCGCGAUGGCCGCGGUUGACACCGCGAAGCCUGCCAGCGCGACGUCCUCCGCCACCAGCGGCGCAGUGGCCGAGGGCGCGACAGCCGCGGUUGAUGGGGCGGCGGUGGUGUGGGCCACAAGCGCCUGCCCGGGCGAAGUAGCAGCCGGCGGGAGCGCGAAGAGGGAGCCGACGCUCCAUGUCCCGAUCGGCGCCUGAAGGGAGGCGGCAUCCAGGGGCCUCGAGAGAAGUGCCGCGAGGGAGGCCGGCAGAAGACCGGUGGCGGUGGAGCCGGACGCAGCGGCGGACGUCAUAGCAGUCAGGCGACGGCGGCGGCGGGCGCGGCGGCGGCGGCGGCGGCGGCGGCGGCGGUUUAGGGUUUUUAGGCGAAAGCGGACGUAACCUAGCGUGAUACCAUGUAAGACAAUAGGCUUUAAGGGGAACCGGCACAAUCCUCUAGGGGUGGCCUAUCACAUAUAUAUAUAAUGAGGUGGUAUACAACGUUACAAUAUACACGUGUAAAUACAGUCUAACACUUCUCCGGCUCAGGCAAGCACACCACGGGUGCUUCUGGCAUCGCGUGGGAGCUGCCUAGCCCUUCGGUGCUUUGCGUGCGUGCUCCUAGCACCGCCCCCCUCGAGUUCUUGCUUCGGCCGCCGCACACCGUCGUCGUUGCCGUCGCCUUAAGUCGUCCCCGCCUGAUCCAGUAGCACCGAUGGAUGCGUGAUGUCUUGCUCGCCCCCGACCGCACUCGCCGCUGCCCCACGGGCUUCUGUGCGCGCGCCGGCGCUGGCCGCCGCUCGCCCGGGCCGCGUCCAAGGCGCACCCCGCAGCCUCCCGCGGUCCCUGCUUCACCUACUGACGUUGCUGCUGCGUGGAUUCAGCUUGCAGCUGCAGCUCGUGCUGUUGCUGCUGUGCCGCUGCAGCUGCUCGGCUUACCGCUGCUGCUCUCUGCUCCGCUGCCUUGCCGCCUGUGCGAUCCUGCUGCUACUUGCUACUGCUCUUGCGUCACUGCUGCUCUACGCUGGUACUGCUGUUGUUACCUGAUGCUUGCUAGCUAGGUACGGUUGCUCUCCUCCAUGGCAGUAUGUGUAUGCGCCGUGUGUGUGUGGUGUGUGUUCGCGUGUGUGGCCGCCUAGGCCACUACCACCUGGGUCGGCCCCUGUUGAGAUUAGAAACUAAUCUCCGUUAGUGCUAAUAAUCCCCCUAUGUUGACUAAAUUGAUUGACUUGAUCUAGAUGUAGUCUAUGCCAUGUGGGCCUAUCUUCUUUCUUAAAAAAAGGAGAGCCUAAUUAAAAGUCUGUUUCAAUGUCAAGUAGGCCCCACUUGUACUAUUCAUUGGUUGACCAGUCAAUUGUUGACUGAGUGAAACCCAGCCCCUGGCCCCACUGGUCAUACAUUGUGGGUAGGUGUUGUUGUGUACAAAAGGUAUUCAUUGUGUUUAUUUCGA
rnacentral:lncRNA from 1 species